ACAAAGAUACCUUCAUAAGAUUUUUGGAUCAAAUUUUCUAAAAAUAUCUUUAGUGUUUAACACAAAGUAUUUGCAUCCAAAAGUAUGAAAGUACUUAAGAUUGGGUGGUACUCCUUUUCAAAACUCAUAUGGUGUUUUCUUUAAAAUUUUUCUAAUGAUGAUUUGGUUUAAAAUACAGCUUCAAUCCAAAAGAAUUUUGGAAUUUCAUUUUCACCAAAACAUAGCCCUAGUAAUUUCUUGAAGGCCUCUAUUUCUCCUUUCAACAACUCUAUUUUAUUGAGGUAUGUUAGGACAUGAAAAAUUAUAUGAACUACCAAAUUCAUCAAAGUGUUGUUUUUCAAACUCAUUUUCAUGAUCACUUCUUAAGAAAACAAUUUUCAUUUUGAAUCUUUUUACAUAGUGUUAAAAAAACAAGAAAGACAUCAUUCUUAUGAGCUAAGAAAAAGAAUCCAUCCAAACUUAGUAUAGUCAUCAGACACCACUAAGCUAUACUGCUUACCACCAAGAGUUUGAGUCCUUGUAGGACCAAAAAGAUCAAUAUGUAACAUUUCCAAAAUUCUUUUGGUUGAGAUGUCAUCAUUGGGUUUGAAAAAUUUUUUUUUUUGUUUAUUUACCCAAUUGACAAGCAUCACAAGUGAUGUCACUGUCAAAUUUUAUUUUUAGGAAGAUAUCUAACUAAAUUAUUUUUCACAAGCUUAAAAACUAGAAACAUGCUUGUAUGUUCUAUUUUCUUAUGCCAUAACUAUUUCUCAGAUUCUAUGGAAAUAAAAUAAGCUACAUUUUGUUCUUUUAGAUCCUCUAAGGUUAGUCCAUACACAUUAUCGCAUCUUAUAACUUCAAACAAAAUUUCACUAGAUUUUUCACACACAACCAAGCAUUUCAAUUUCUUGAAAAAAGUCAAACAACAUAAAUCACACAAUUGGCUCAUGCCUAGAAGAUUGUGUUUCAACCAAUCAACUCAAAAUACAACAUUAAUGAAAAUUGAGAAAUUCUUACCAACCUUACUUACGGCCACAAUUUUUUAUUUACCAUUGUCACCGAAAGUCACAAAGCUUCCAUUAAAUUCAUCAAAGAAAGUGGGCUUUUCGGUCAUGUGCCUAGAGCAUCUUCUAUUCAAGUAUCACAUGUCUUUCUUCUUCUUGGAUGCUAAGCAAAACUGCACAAAUCUUUUAAGUGACCUUAGGUAUCCAAAAUAAUUUGGAUCCUUUGAAGUUAACCCUUCUUGGUUGCCCAAGAGCAUUAAAAUCACAAACAACCUUGUAUGUUUUAUUUCCUACUCUUCUUUUGUCAAUAAAGCAUUAAGAAGAAGAGUGACCAGAUUUAUUGUAAUUAAAACAGUAAUUUGUGUGAGCAUGUUGCUGAAAAUACUUUAAGAUAUGAUGCUGAUGGUGAUCAAAAAAUUUGAAUUUUCUGGUAUUUGAAAGGGUGCAUUUCUUUUGAAAGAUCCAUCUCUAACAUUAGUACCUCAUUUUGCCAGAAACCUUGAACCAGAAUUUCUUGACACAGAUGGGUAUCUAGAACGUGAGGCUCUUUUGUGAAAGAAAAAUUUUCUAAAAAUGUCCUCAUUGUUAGAGAUGUAACCCAGAACAGAGUUUAUUUGAAGCAGGUUCAGGUUUUAAAUAAGAUGCAUUCUUAUAAAAAAUAUGGCUUUUCAAAAUCAGCAUCAAUGUUAGAUGAAUAUUCAAGAUCAGAUUUAUCAAAAGAUAAUUUUAUUUUUGAAGAUGAUGCUGUGAAUUUGCAAGUGAUUUUUUUUUAAUUGCAUCAUUUUUCAUUACAUACCCUAAACCUGAUUUUUCAAACAAAGUUCUUUGAUUAGCAAGUAAUUUGUUUAAGUUGUUUGAGUUAUGUGCAAAUUUUGCUAAAUCAUGAUUCAAACUUUUGAUCAUUUAAUCUUUUAUUUUCAGCAACAGAUUUUUGAGAGAGAUCAAUAAUGCGCUUUCCAUUGAACAUUUUCAUAUUUAAAAAAAUCUAUUUUCUUUAAUGAAAUCAAAAGCACAUUUGGUCUCCUUCACUCUUUUCUUUCAAAAAAUUAUUUUCAGCAUUCAAAACUUCAUUUUCAGAUUUAUAUUUGUUGUAUUUAUUCAGCAAUGUUUCAGAAAGGUGAGAGAGAUCAUCAAUAGUCACAUGCAAAUCAUCAAGAGAUAAGUCAUAUAAAUUUACCUCUUCUUGUUGAUCUUCAUCAGUUAUGAAACAGAUUUGUGCUCUAUCUUCGGAGUCUUCUUCCUUAUCUGAGUCAAUCUUGAGAUCCUCCCAAGAAGCCAUAAGUCAUUUUCUUUUUGGUUCCUUUGAGUUGCCACAUCUGCUUCUUCUUUUGAGUUUCAUCAUCCUUCUAAGUUUCCUAGCAAAACAUGCAAACUCGUAAUCUUAUAAACAGUCACUGGAUUCAUCAUCUAAUAAUUUAGUGCAAGAUUUAAGAGCCACUCUCCCCUCUCCUCUUUUUUUUUGUAUCAUCAUUUUUUUUUUCAUAUGCUAGUAACUUUUCUCUCAACUCAUUACAGGUUAUUUCACUUUUCACUCUCUUGUCAAGCUUCUCAAGAUUUUCCUCACUAGCAUCUGUUCGGAAUAAGUAAUCCCCAUAGCAUCCAAGCUAUUAAUGAUGAUAAAGAAUCAUGUCAUCAAUUGAUUCUCCUUCCUUCAUAGAGAACAUCUCAUACUCUCUGCUCAGCAUGUCACUUCUGAUUUUUUUUUAUGAUGCCCUCAGGUGUGACUUGAAACUUUGUCCCAGAUUUUCUUUGCUGUUUUGCAUCUUGAAUCCUUCUGGUAUUCCUUGAAGUUGAUUACACAGUUCAGUAUGUUGACAACAUUGCCAUUUAGUUUUCCUUUCCUUUUGUCAUCUUCAUUCAAUUCUGCUUCGGCUUUGGGAGAGACAAUACCACCAGCGCCAUCCUUUGUAGGGACUUGAGGAUCAUUUCUGAUUAUCUUCCACAUGCUGUAAUCCACUGAUUGAGAAAAGAUCUUCAUUCUUUCUCUCUUUUUUUUUUGAAGAAUGGAGAUCUGUUGUUGGACUGUCCUUCUGUCAGAAUAUAAGCCACUGUGUUUGAACCCAUGUAGUUCUUCAUCAGAAUCUUUUUGAUUCGUUCGAACACUAGGGAGACCGAGCUUAAGCACUUCCGAGCGGGUUAACACCGAAGAGGAAGAGCUUUACGUCGGCCGGAAGUCAAACACCGCGGCGGGAAUACCUGCACAAGAUACUCCGACGCUCAAGUCAGUAAUAAUUCUCAGUGAGUGAGUUAAGAGUAAAGAGUAGAAGAGUGAGAGUGAUAGAACCUGAGGCCUAGCCAAGCAUAUUAGCUAGGUUUUAUAGAAGUUGUCUUCUGCCCGUUAGUGGAUAAGUCCUAGUUUAUAGGUUAGUUGAGAUAUUCUGUUUUGGUGCUAUAAACUAGUUGAGCACGUUUCCUAUUUUCAGUUGAGUGAUGCUGUUUCGGUCCUGAUCACGUGCCGAGAUUUUCGGACGGCUGAUUCGGGACCGAGCUUUAUGAUGCACGUGUCUUUUUAUUUGAAUAGGUGAGGCCGAGCUUAUCUGCUUUUGUUCCGAGCUUGUUUAACGUGACGUCAGCCUCGGAUAUUUGUGUGCCGAGUAUUUCGGGCGACCGAGGAUACAGGUAACGUAUCAUAGCCCCCAAGCUUGCCUUGGUUUGGACAAGACUAAGGCGAGCUUUGUAUACUUCGGAUGGCAAAAUCCUCGGUCGCUUGGUUUAUUAUGUGUGCUCCUUACAGCCCCCGAGCUUGUCUUAGUUUUGGCGCAUUGGUGUUUUGAAAUGGUUUGUGGCAUUUAUUGCCUGCGUUGUUCUUCGUGUGGUAAUGAAUGAUUGAUUUGAUUGCAUUGUAAGUUUCGAGGAGCCCCUGACCGUUUGAUCUGCUGAGCGUUGAUCGUGGGCUUUCUAAGGGUGUAGAUCAGAGGGAAACGUUUCAUAUGUAACUUCCUUUCCACUAUGUAAUAAACGUGCUUCCCUUCCCUAAUAUUUUUCCUUUUUGUGCUGGGUGCUUCUGCGUUUUCGGAGAAAAUGAGUAAGAAAGGUGAGUGUUGAUUCAUCUUCUUGCUGCUUCUCUCUUCUUCUCUCACUUUUGAUUUUCUGCUCCCUAUUCUUAUGGAAGUUAAAAUGUCUAAUGAGGGUGAGGGGGGUUUAUAUAGUUGGGUUGAUUCUAGGGUUAAGGAGUAUAUGUCUCAGUUCAGUGAUAAAGAGUCUGUUGAUAUGCUGGGUUCGAAUGUUUGGGUUAGGAGUGGUAGUGAUAUAAGGAUAGAGAUACUUCCCUGUGGUGUUGAUGACCGGAUUUUUCAUUCUCGUGAUGAUUGGGCUUACUUUUAUAUGUACAGCUGCCUUUUUACUGAAUUGGGAGUUAGGGUCCCUUUUACUGAUUUUGAAUGUGGUGUACUUUAUUGGUUGAAUUGUGCUCCGAGUCAACUUCACCCAAACUCCUGGGGGUUCGUUAGGGCUUUUGAGGUGUUGAUGGAAUUCCUUGAGCAGGCGCCCUCUCUUCGGUUGUUUUUCUCCUUGUUUCAAGCUAAAGGGGUUAACGGAGGUCUCUGGGUUAAUCUAAGUAGUUACCCCCGUCGCGCUAUUUUUGGCCUCUACAAGUCUUCUUUUAAGGACUUUAAAACCAUGUAUGUUAAAGUGAGGAGUGUACCCGAGGAGUUUCCUUUUUAUUUAACUGAGUUUCUUGUUGAGAAGUUCCCUUUGUCUUGGUGUUCCGAGCCUGUGCAAGCUUUAGACGUGGAUGAUAGGUCGGUUGAUGAUCAACUUGUGAUGGAGUUUCUGUUUGAGAAGUUGGGCCCAAAGGGGUUGCUAUCUGUGUCCAAAUUGUUAAAAUGGAAUUCUGAUAGAGAGGCGGUUCUGAGAUAUCUAGGUAAAUUAGUUGUUUUUUGCUUAGUUUGUUGUUUUGUUCUUGUCUGUACUUACCUUGUUGGCUUUUUGGUGCAGGUGAGAAGGUGCCUACGAUUACUACUGCUGGCUUGAAAUCAUUCUUCAAUCAGCGGAAGAAGGCUGAGAAGGAGAGCUCGGCUACUAAUGCUGAUAAAGGCCCUGUGAUUCAGUCCGAGGCUGCUCUUAAGUCUAAACGAAAGAGGGGUUUUGCAAAAGAAAAAAUUGCUGAGGCUUUCUUGAAGGAAGGGGAGUCUUCUGUGGAGCUUCAGCGAGUGGAAUCUGCUUAUGAGUCUCAAAAAAGACUGCAUGGCUAUUCGGAAAAUGUUCAUUGUCGUUCAUUAUGGGGAAAAUUGUAUCCUUUUUCUGUCAUGGCUGAUGAGCUUUGUUGCUUCCCGGAUGAUAUGAAGAUGAUCGAGGAUGUCGGCCAUGUAGGAGUGAGCCGUUUUAUGCAGGUGAGGGUUGUAUUUUGUCUUGGUGUGCGUUUGUUAUAUUGUGUUUGAUGUUCUUUGUUUUUGUUCUAGGUGAUUGGUGCACGUAUGGUAGCUGUUGGUCGUGCUCAAGAGCUGGUUUUUGAGAGAGAACACAAGUCUGCUCUGGAUGUUGCUGAGCUGUCUUCAGCUUUGGAGAAGAAGGAGAAAGCUAUUACGGAAUUGUCCUCCUCAUUAAAGUUGAAAGAGUCCGAGCUUGCUGAGGAAAAACGUCUUCACCUCUCUUGUGUAGAGGAGAUGAAGACUGUUCAGGCUGACAAUGAUCGCUUGGGGUCAAGGGUGAAGGAGUUGCAGACUGAGGUUUAUGAGUCGUAUGCACAAGGCUUUGAGUGCGCUGUUUCUCAAGUGCGGGUGUUGUUUCCUGGAUCGGAUGCGGACAUGCUUGAUGCAACUAAAGUGGUUGUGAACGGGCGGCUUGUGGAUGAUGGUGCUGCUGCUUCAGAUGAUAGCGGGGAGUCUAGUAUUGGCGAUAAGGCAGACUAGGCUUUUAGUAUUUGAUCUUGUUUAUUUUGUAUAUUUGUAGCAUGCUUGAAACUUGUGGUUGUUUUAUCUUGAACUAUGUUUUCGAAUAUUUGGCGAUAACAUUUUGGGUACCGAGUAUGUGAUUCGGUUGCGAUACUUUUGUUUUCCGAGCAUAUAGCUCGGCUUGAUGAUGACUUAUCUUAUAAACUUUGAUUUUUCGGAUAAACUUAUGAUUGUGUGUUGGAAGUAAUCGUAUAUAUGUAUCGAAGGUGGCCAAAGCCAUUCUCUGUUUAAGUGAAUUUGUUGGAAAUGAGAGUAGAUGUUCUAAUGUAGAACUUGUAUUUUUAAAUGGAAGCGCAUUAGGAUUUGUUUAAGUGACUUGAUGAUAUUGUUUGUUUGUACUUCCUCCGAGCAGUAUGUUCGGCAUGCGCAUGUUGUUUUCCGAGUAUGAAGCUCGGAUCAGUUUAAUUAGAUAAACUUUGACUUAUUCUUAUGCUGGUAGUUUUCUGAGGAAUAUGCUCGGCUCGUGAUGUUUAGGGUUCCGAGGAUUAUGCUCGGCUAGUUUGAAGUGUUUUCUAAUUGAAAUGUAUGUUAACUGUCGAAAUGAAAACAUUAAGUUGUAUGUGUACAAGGAUUUGUUGCGUCCGUCCUCGUUAAAACCCUUUCCGAGUAAAACCCUUGUGUUUUGGGAAAAAACCGUCGGAGGGAAAAAGAGUACCAUCAUUCGCUUAUUACACAGGCUAUGUCACGAUUGAUAUUCCCUUAGAGAGGAGACGUUCCAUGUUCCCGAAAGUUGCUCUCCUCUAAGGGUUUCUAAUUUGUAAGCCCCCUUUCCAAGGUUUUGGAGAACUCGGAAAGGACCUUCCCAAUUCGCCGCUAAUUUGCCAUGUGCUGGUGGUUUCCGUGCAUCUUCUGUUCGUCUGAGUACAAGGUCUCCAUUGUUGAAAGACCUGUGGACUACUCUUUUGUGGUGUCUUUGCUCUAGGUAUCGUUUUCUGGCUCGCUGCUUUAUGGCGGAGAUAUCUCUGUCUUCUUCUAGGAGGUCCAGGUCAGCUGACCGAGCUUGUUGAUUGUUUGGUUGAUUAUAGAGUUUGGUCCUUAACGUUGGGACGCUGACCUCUACUGGAAUGAGCGCUUCUGCGCCAUAUACCAAUUUGAAGGGAGUUUCCCCUGUGGCAGAUUGGAUGCUGGUGUUGUAGCUCCAUAGAAUUUCUGGAAUGAGGUCAGCCCACUCCCCUUUAGCUUCGCCGAGUUUUUUCUUUAAUCCCUGCAAGAUAAUUCUGUUAGCUGAUUCAACUUGUCUGUUAGUUUGCGGGUGCUCUACUGAGCUGAAGUGAUGUUUGAUGUUAAAAUUUGUCAGAAAAGUGGCGAGCUUAUGAUCUGUAAAUUAUCUCCCGUUGUCCGAGAUUAUCUCUCGUGGGAUACCAUAUCUGCAUAUGAUAUUUUUCCAUAUAAAGGAUCGCACUUUUUCUGCUGUUAUGUGUGCUAGUGGUUGUGCUUCUAUCCACUUAGAGAAAUAGUCAAUUGACACUAAGAGGAACUUUACCUGGCCUGGCGCUUUCGGAAAGGGUCCGAGGAUAUCUAAUCCCCACCUAUCGAAAGGCCAGCUUACCUCUAUGGUAUGGAGCUCCUCGGCCGGAGUCUCUGAGAGGGUGGCGUGCUUUUGACAAUUAUCACAUGCUUUGACCUUUGUGAUGCAGUCCUGUUUUAUCGUCGGCCAAUAGUAACCUGUUCGCAAGAUCUUUGCUGCUAGUGCUCGGCCGCCAAUAUGGUUGCCACAGACUCCUUCAUGUGUUUCAGCCAUAACCUCCUCGGCUUCCUCUUUGCUGAUGCACUUGAGCAGUGGUUGUGAAUGUCCUCGCCUGUAUAGGGUGUUUCCGAGCACUGUAUAGAAGCUUGCUCUUCUUCGGAAGAGUGGCAAGUUUGGUUCGUUAUUUGGUAUGGUGCCUGUGUUUAUAUAAUUGAGGAAAGGUAUUCGCCAAUCUGGGACCUGUGUAAUACUCAAAAUUGUAUCCUGCUCAAAACUUGGUUUGUCGAGUGUUAGUUGGGACAGUGCCGAUGUGUUUUCGGCUUGCCGAGUUGUGGCUAACUUAGAUAACACAUCGGCCCUGGUGUUUUGUUCUCGGUUUACAUGGAUAAUAUCAAAUUCUUUAAAUUUUGAAAUUAGAUCCUUUGUUACGAGCCAAUAUUUCUCUAACAAAGGAUCUUUUACCUGGAAUUCGCCCUUUAUUUGAUGUACCACUAAUGAAGAGUCGCAGUAGGCUGUUAUCCGAGGUAUUUGUAGUCGUAAGGUGAGCUUUAGUCCAGCGAGUAGGGCUUCGUACUCCGCCUGAUUGUUGCUUGCGUUGAAGCGGAACUGCAGUGAUUGCUCGGCCACCACUUUGUUUCCUUCCUUGAGUAGUAUCCCCGCUCCACUGCCUUCCUUGUUGGAUGCUCCAUCUACAUGUAUGCUCCACCUGACCUCUGUGUUAUGUGUGUCAUUGGUCAUUUCUGAUAUGAAGUCGGCUAGCACCUGUGACUUCAGUGUUUUUCUUGAUUCGUAUUGAAUGUCGAACUCGGAGAGCUUGACCGACCAUUUUAUUAAUCUGCCGGCGAGCUCGGGUCUGGUUAGUAUUUGUCUUAGCGGUUGGUCUGUUCGCACUAUGAUUGUGUGACUUUGGCAGUAGUGCCGUAAUCUUCUUGCUGUGGUGAUUAGUGCCAGCGCCAGUUGUUCUAUCUUCGGGUACCUUGUUUCUGUUGGUUGUAGUACCCUACUGAUGAAGUAUACCGGGCUUUGCUUUUUUCCUGUUUCUGUUACUAAGACCGAGCUUAUAGCAUGGUUAGAUAUUGAUAGGUAUAAAUAUAGUGGCUUACCUGUCUCUGGCCUUUGGAGGAUUGGUGGUGAUGUGAGGUGUUGUUUAAGUUCGGUAAAAGCAUUCUCACAUUCGUCAGUCCAGGUGAAUUUUCUGCCUUUAGAAAAUGUCUGGAAAAAGUUAUAAGAUCGGCUUGCUACUGCUGGUAGGAAGCGUGAUAGAGCAGCUAUUCUUCCUGCAAGUUGUUGGACUUCCUUUACCGUUUUUGGGCUUGUCAUGUUCAGUAUGGCUUUGCAUUUUUCUGGGUUGGCCUCGAUGCCUCGAGAUGUCAACAUGAACCCGAGGAACUUCCCUCCUUGUACUCCGAACGCGUAUUUGUCUGGAUUGAGUCUCAUGUUAUAUGCUCGGAGUUGUUUGAAGAUUUCUACUAGGUCGUCACAGUGUGACCCCUGCAUAGGUGUUUUUGCUACCAUGUCGUCUACAUAGACCUCCAUAUUGCGGCCUAUCUGCUGUUGGAAUACUUUGUCCAUCAGCCUUUGGUAUGUUGCACCUGCAUUCUUUAGGCCAAAGGGCAUUACCUUGUAACAAAAGUUCCCAUGCUCUGUUAUAAAAGCUGUUUUGCUUUGGUCUUCUGGGUGCAUUAGAAUCUGGUUAUAGCCAGAGUAUGCAUCCAUAAAACUCAAAGCUUUGAAACCAGAGGCGUUAUCAACUAAUUUAUCAAUGCAAGGCAAUGGGUAUGCAUCUUUAGGGCAAGCUUUAUUUAAAUUUGUAAAGUCGACGCACAUGCGCCAUUUACCUGAGCUCUUCCUUACCAUUACCACGUUGGACAACCAUGUGGUGAAGCGAAUUUCUCUGAUGAAACCUGCAUUGAGGAGCUUCUGAGUUUCUUCGAGUGCUGCUUGUUUUUUCUCUUCUCCGAGGGUCCUUUUCUUCUAUGCAACUGGUCGGAUUGUUUUGUCGAUUGCUAGCUUGUGGCAGAUGACUUCUGGGUUGAUUCCGGGCAUGUCAUCUGGUGUCCAUGCAAAAAGGUCGGCGUUCUGGCGCAGUAUGUGAAUGAGUCUUGCUCGGUCUGCCCCUUCUAAUGCCUCUCCGACAUAUGUGCAUUGUUUGUCGUCUGCUGUUAGUGUUAUUUGUUGAAGAUUGUCCAUUGGCCGAGGUCUUUCGCCGAGGUCUUCUCUCGGGUCUAGAUCGCCUAGUGUUGCUGUGGUGGCGGACGUGUGGAUUGCUUGAACCUGGGACCGAGCUUCCUGUUUUGUUUGUAUUGAUUUUAGGCCAGCAUUAUAGCAUUGCCGAGCUUCUUGAUGGUCGGCAUGCACCGUAGCGAUCUUGUUUCCCUGCACUGGAAACUUGACACACAAAUGUAAUGUGGACACCACUGCCCUGAAUACAUUCAGGGCGGGUCUCCCAAGUAUAAUAUUGUAAGGGUUGUAACAGUUUACUAUUAGGUAUUGAAUAUCGAUUGACUUUGACAUAGGGAUUUCUCCCAUUGUGGUCUUUAGCCAUAUGUGUCCCAUGAUGGGGACUCUCUCUCCGGAGAACCCAAUUAGCUCUCCGGAGGAGGGUUGUAUUAAUUUUUCUGAUAAUUUCAUCUUUGUAAAAGUAGAGUAAAAUAAAACAUCUGCACUACUACCUGGAUCUAACAAUGUCUUUCUUACCAACAGUUCUCCGACCUGGAUUGAAAUUACCACGGGAUCGUCGAGGUUAGGGCUUGCCGAUUUGAAGUCUGCUUGGUUGAAGGAUAUUGUGACAUCUGGUUCUUUGUCCUUCUUUGGUUGUAUAGUUCCUUCGAUUGCCAGCAUUGCUCUAUAGCUUCGCUUCCUGGCCGAGCUUGUUUCUCCUCCACCUGCGAAUCCCCCUAAUAUAUGGUUGAUGACUCCUCUUGGUGGAUCAGGAGUCGUCCUCUCUUUUUUGUCGUCGGCCAUUGGUUGUUUAUGUUCUACCCUGUCCGAGUUUCCUCCUCUGCCUUUCCGGGUCUCGACGUAUUUGUCCAGGAGCCCUUGGCGUGCUAGCCUUUCUAGGAGGUCCUUUGCAACGAUGCAGUCAUCCGUAGUAUGACCGAACUUCUGGUGGAAAGCACAAUGCUUCGUCUUGUCCACGAACCUUUGAUCAUGGUAGUUCCCUGCUCGGGCUGGUGGUUUUAUGAUUUUGGCGUUGAGGAUUUCUCUGAUGAUGUUCUCUCUUCUAGUGUUGAAUCUGGUGUAUGUGUUGUACUUGGACGCGGGCUUAGAAGGUUUCUUAGUGUCCCUGUUGCUUGGCGAUCUGAAAGUCCUUUCUUCGUCUCUCCGAUGUGGUUGUUUGUCUGGCUUUUGGGCUUCUCGGAGUUCUUCGAUCUCCAUUUGACCUGCCGCCCUUUCUCGGAAUUCCUCUAGCGUCUUCGGCUUUGUUAUGGCAAUGGUCUCCCGAAAUUUUCCAGGCCUGAGGCCGGCCUUGAGAGCGUGCAGGUGAACGGCCGGGUCCAAGUCUUGGAUUUCCAUAGUGGCGUCCGCGAAUCUGGUCAUGUAGUCUUUCAGGCUCUCGUGCUGACCUUGUUUGAUGGUGCCGAGGUAGUCCGAGCCAUGAACAUAGAUUCUUGAUGCAGCAAAGUAAUCAAUGAAUGAUCUGGCGAGGUCUUCAAAGGAUGAGAUCGAACCUGCAGAAAGUUUAGAAAACCAUAGCAACGCAGCACCAUCUAGGUACGUGGGGAAUGCUCGGCAGAGGACGGGCUCAUUGUUAGGGCCGUUGAAAAACAUCUUUGAUUGGAACUUCUUCACAUGGGCCCGAGGGUCGCCGAACCCCUUGUACGGUUCUAGCGCGGUGGGCAGCGUGAAGUUUUUCGGCAUCUGGUAGUUUGUGAUUUCCUCGGAGAAAGGGUUGUCAAGGGUGAACUUCUCCUUUGGCGGGAUGACGUUUAAAGGGUCCGCCGCACUUUGAGCCGAGCCUUUGGAGUUUUCUCCAUUGUUUUGUGUUGAGAGCUCAGCUAUCCUCCGUACCUCCGUCUAAAGCUCGGCGAUCUGAGCCAGGAGGUCAUCCUGUGAGAGUUGUGGAUUUUCCUUGUCAGCCAUGUCCGAGGAUCGGGAAUCCUGCAAAACAAAAUAGAAGACUAGACGAAGGAAAAAAUGGGGUUAGAUGUACUCCGGGCCCCACGGUGGGCGCCAAGUGAUUCGUUCGAACACUGGGGAGGCCGAGCUUAAGCACUUCCGAGCGGGUUAACACCGAAGAGGAAGAGCUUUACGUCGGCCGGAAGUCAAACACUGCGGCGGGAAUACCUGCACAAGAUACUCCGACGCUCAAGUCAGUAAUAAUUCUCAGUGAGUGAGUUAAGAGUAAAGAGUAGAAGAGUGAGAGUGAUAGAACCUGAGGCCUAGCCAAGCAUAUUAGCUAGGUUUUAUAGAAGUUGUCUUCUGCCCGUUAGUGGAUAAGUCCUAGUUUAUAGGUUAGUUAUGAUAUUCUGUUUUGGUGCUAUAAACUAUCUAGGCACGUUUCUUAUUUUUAAUUGGGUGAUGCUGCUUCGGUCCUGAUCACGUGCCGAGAUUUUCGGACGGCUGAUACGGGACCGAGCUUUAUGAUGCACGUGUCUUUUUAUUUGAAUAGGUGAGGCCGAGCUUAUCUGCUUUUGUUCCGAGCUUGUUUAACGUGACGUCAGCCUCGGAUAUUUGUGUGCCGAGUAUUUCGGGCGACCGAGGAUACAGGUAACGUAUCACUUUUCCUCCAAGCUGUGAAGCUUGAUCUCUUUGAGACCAAGCUCUGAUACCAAUUGAUGGUUAUCAGUGGCUAAGAGAAGGGGGGUUGAAUCUUAGCCAUCUUUUUGCUGAAUGUUACUUUCUACUUUUUAGAAUAGCUCCAGGAGAUAUUUUUUCUUUUUGUCUCAUAACUGGUCAAGAGACAUUUUCUUUUUGUCUCGUAACCGGUUAGGACAUAUUUUUUAAUUUUGUCUCCCACGAACAGAAACAGUAAAGGAGUAGAAGAGAAAGAGAGAUUCACACCCAGAAGUAUCCUGGUUCAGCUGCUAAGUGUAAUGCAGCCUACAUCCAGUCUCCAUCACAACAGUGACAGAAUUUCACUAUAAUCAAACUGAUUAUAGACACCAAUUCUUCCCUAAGAACUACCCUUUCCUAUCCGGGACAAGUCCAGAAUCUAUCUCCAAAACUGAACUUGAUUUAGUCAUCUACUAAGCUUUCAACUGCAAAGUGUUAACCCAACUUGCAAGGAAACAAGUCCAGAUUCUACCCCAACCCGAACUUGACUAGACCUCAAUCUAGCUUUCAACCGCAAAGUGCUAACCCAACUUGUAAGGGAAUCCCCUCAGGAUCAUGACAACAAAACAGAAAUACAACAAAGAAUUUCUGAGAUAAUAAUGUCUUUUCUUUAACUCUCUACCUUUUUUCACUCAUUGGCUUUUUCUUACAAAAUCUCACAUUUUGCCUUUUACCAAUUUAACACAGACAGACUCACUGAGAAAAAGAAAUAUUCAACGAAAACCAUGAAGGAGAAGAAUAAACAGCUCAAAGAGCUAUGGGAACCCAAACGUGUGCUCUCACUCCUUAUCUCAAGCCUUGGCCGUUCACCCUUAUUAUAGAAGGGGAAGCUUCCAAGGUUGAAACGGUUCAACCGAGCCAACUUCUUCUUCUUCAACUUCAAAAUCGGUUCGAACAGAGAGAAGAGAGAGGGAACCGAAAGCUAAAACCAACAUGCAAUUACCUCUCUCUCAUCCCUUUUCUUCAAGCUCCAUCAAUCUGAGCCUUCCAUCUUGACUUGGUCCCCAAGAAGGAUUUCUGACCCUUGAUGAACGCUUGAUCCUUGACAGCUUCUCCUGCUCCACUUUUGCUUCCUCCUCCACGUAGUUACACUAGCUACCUUCUGUGAUGGAUGGCCACAAAGUAGAGACGAGCCAUACCCCAGGAAUCUUCUUCUCUGACCAAAAUGGAUUGCUUCCAUUUCUAGGUAUGGAGAUCUUGAGACUUUCUCACCACAUCUUACCUUUAGCGGUAAGGAUCUCAGCCACACCAUGCUGUAGAUCUUCUUUUUGCAAGGGCCAUCAUCACCUUGGCCUCUUGCUUGUUCAUAGCUUCUCUGUUUCUACCUUUGAUAACUUCUUCCAUUUUCUUUCCUGUGACAUGACCGAAGAAGAGAAAUAAGAGAGAGAAUGAAGAAAAGCUUUCAAUGUAAUUGAUGAAUGAAAUUAAAAUGAAUUAAUUUUCCACUCCCCAUGCUUAGUAACGUGUGAAAAUUAAAUGCCAUCAAAUCAAUUACAUUUUCUCUUUCCUGUUAUCAAUGCAUGCAUUAAAUCCAUUUAAUCAAAUUUUGAAUUCCAUAACCCAUUGGAGAUGAGAAUGGUAACCGUGGAAAGCAUGCAAUCAAUUUAAUUAAAAUUUGGAUUCCACCAAAGUGAAUUGGUAACCAAAACAUGCUUCAACAAAAUUGGGCCCCUUUUGUUUUUGUGAUCAAUGUAUGGUAUCCUUGGGCCAUUUCUUUCUUUAUUUGUUUUAUCAAUAUGGGCUUAUCUUCAUUUCAAAUUUCAGCCACUUUAUGUUCGAAUUGAUUUUGCACAAAGCUAAAAUAAUUUUUUGACCAAAGUGGGCUGCUAUAUUUUUUUGACCCAUUAGGAAAUUAAUUUCUUCCUCCUGCACACUAAUAAACAUAUCAAACAAACCAUUGGAAGCAUUAAAUAAGACACUUAAUUUUAAUAAUUUUUUAAUUUAUAUUUUAAUAAUAUUUGAUCACCAUUUCAGUUUUUCAAACUCAACAAAUACACUAUUAGUGUAAAAUAGUUUUACACAUUCAUCCAAUUACAUAUAGUCACAUUAAUAAAAAUAAUUACCUUUCACAUCUAUCGCGUGAACCAUUAUUCAAAAAACAGAUGUGAUUGUACGACUAUAAAAAUGCUUUACACAUUUAGUGACAUAACUUUAAAAAAAAUUUGGAGGACAAAAACUUGUAAAAUAAAAAUUAUAUAAUAAUAUUUAUAUAAAAUUAAAAUUUAUAAAUAUAAUUANNNNNNNNNNNNNNAGAUGUUAAUAUAAAAAAAAUUAUAUAGAUAAAAGAAAUUAAUUUUAUUACAACUAAUUUCAACACUAAAAUUAUAAAAUCUUAUUGAUAAUGAGAAUAAUAAAUGAAAAUGAGAUUUUAAUUUGAAUGAAUAAGCCAAUAAGAUCUUUAAUUUGUAAAAAUCCAUUAAAGUCAAGUCCAAAAUGUUAAUGCUUAAAAUUAAAAGUGACUGAAUAAAUGUAGAAAAUAGAAAUUGAUCCCACAAAUUUAAUAUAAAAAUGUGAAACAUAAAUAAAUUAAAUUAUAUUUAUUCUUUUGUAAUAAUACUACUAGUUCUUUUAUAAAAAAUUUGGAGGCUAUGACUCCCCAUUGCCCAAGCUAAGCUCCGCCCCACUAUACAUUAGUGUAUCAAAAUUAAACUCAUUAAAAAAAAUAUAUAAUUUAUCCUUUAUUGAAUAUUAGGGCUGAAAGUGAGUCGAGUUGAGUCGAGCUAGACCAAGCUCAAACUCGGCUCACGAAAAUUAAGCUUGACUCACGACUCGACUCAUUAACAAUCGAGCCUAUUUUGUAAGCUUAAUCUUGGCUCAAUGAAAGCUCACGAGCUGGCUCAAAUAAUAGGAACAUAAUCUAUAAUUUUAUAUCAAUAAAUUAUAACUUAUAUAUAUUAAAAAAUAUUAAAAGCUAAUGAGUUGAGCUUAUUCGAGCUCAAAUUCGGCUCACUAAUUCAUGAAUUUAGUUUAUCGAGUUAUUAAUAAGUCGAACUCGAGCUGACUUGGCUUACAUCCAACUCUAUUGAAUAUACAACAUGCUCUUUUAAUUUAUCCUUUAAUUAAAUUAAUUGUACAUGCGUGUUGGUGGUUAGGUGCAGUUGUCAACAUGCGUAUUAAUUGCACACGGUGAAAUUGAUUUUGGGUUCUUGGAAAACUUAAGCAGUGACCCUUACACACUACACACAAACAUCUUCACCCAAGGCAAAGGUGAGUAGGUGACAGAGAGCAACAUCAGUUCUACCUUUGGUUUGAACUAAGGUUGUGAGAACCGAACCGAUCAAUGAAUCGGUAAAGUCAUUAGUUCAAUAAUUUAUUGGUUCGAUCGGGGUUGAACUGAUUUAAUUAAAUAUUAAAUAAAAUUAUUAAAAAAUCUAAAAAUAAUUUUAAAUAUAUAAAUUCAAUCAUUUCUAACUUAAUAAAAUUUAAAAUUUUACAUAAUAAAUUAUCCAUAACUUAAUAUUAGAGGUUCACAAACAACUUCAAAUAUCAAAGUUUAUAACUAAACAAAAGAAACGCACAUAAUGACAAACCCAUACUGUUCUACAUUCAAAAGAAACAAUUACUAGCAAAUUUUCAACUAAUCAAAAGUGCAACUCAUCAAAAAUCAUAAUCAUCAUUAAGUGUUCCAAUAUUUCCAUCAUAAACAGGUAAUCCAAAACACAAAAAACAAAAACAAAAACAACCUCAGAAAACCAUGAACAAAUAAAUAACCUCAGAAAAUAAAAAAUCAUGAAUCCAAAAUAACCUCAGAAAACUAUGAAUUCAGCAACCAGAAUCAUGAAGCAGCAAGCAAAUAAAUCAUGAACAAAUAACAAAUAAAUCAUUAAGUGUUCCAAUUGACACAAGGAAUGGUGAUGAAGACAGUCCAGGAGCUUCAAUUAGAACUUCAAUCAGCAAGUUGGUGAAGUUUGUUAUGCAGCACGUUUUCCUUUGUAAAUUCUGUUAGCAACUGACUAACCACACUCCCCUGCACUUCCCUGUAUAUAAACCAACCCCUGUAUGAUAUUGAAAUAAUACACAAGAAUCACAGUCUUUCCUUGUUCUUCUCCUCUCUGAUCUCACUCACACUUACGGCACCAGCUCCUUGCCUGAAUCACAAGCUUAUGAUACCUUUCACCAAUAUCUUGAACAGCAUUAUCUUGUGGCUGAGUUACUUUGUGAUUGUUCCAACUGUAACAAUAAGAAAAUCAAAAACAAAAAACAACCUCAGAAAACCAUGAACAAAUAAAUAACCUCAGAAAAUAAAAAAUCAUGAAUCCAAAAUAACCUCAGAAAACUAUGAAUUCAGCAACCAGAAUCAAGAAGCAGCAAACAAAUUCAUCAUGAACAAAUAACCUCAGAAAAUAAAAAAUCAAAAUCAUGAAUCUAGCAAACAAACAAAUCAUGAACAGAUAACAAAUAAAUCAAAAUCGCAAACAAAUAAAUCAUAAAAUCAAGCUCAGAAAAUCAGAAGGCAGCAAGGAGGAAUAACCGAAUAAGAACAGAGUAUUACCGACGGCGAGUAACGGCGACGAAAGAGGAGGCGAGCUCAGCGACGAUGAAAGAGGAGGCGAGCUCGGCGACGACCAACGAGGAGGCGAGCUCGGCGACGACCAACGAGGAGGCGAGCUCGGCGACGACCAAAGACGAGACGAGCUCAGCGACGAAACAGGACACGGUGGUGGUUGCGGUUGUCAACGCCGUCGCUGCUAUGGCUGCGGGAUGCGGUGGCGAUGGCGGUGGGCUGCUCGAUUAGUGGUGGUGGCUAUGCGACUGCGAAGAGGGAGAGCUAGUUGCUGUGGGUGCUGAACUGCUGAACUGCGAAGAGGGGAGAGCUAGUGGUGGCUUCUGGGUGAUUUCUGAUUACUUAUUAGGGCUUCGUUAGCGUUUAGCCUUUUCUUUUCUUUUUUUUUAAAGAGACAAAAACGACGCCGUUCAACACUUUUAAUUUCAAAUCAAAAACCGCUAAAAAAUCGAACGGUUUUUCUGGUUCACCGGUUAACUAUCAGUUCGAUCGAUUUUUUUACCGAUUUUUUAUCAGGCAAUUUCUGACCUUACCCGGCCGACUAGGUGACCGGUUCCCGAUUAUUCCGGUUAAACCGGUCGGUCCAGUUUAAUUUUCAGAACCAUGGUUCGAACCCACCAAGAACUUCUACACUUACUCGGUCAUUUGGAAGCCCCAACAUAUCAUAUAAGUUCUUCAAUAAUAUAAGUUUUACUUAUUUUAAUUUUGUAACAACAUUGAAUAUAUCUAUCUAUACCAAUAUAUAAAACUAAUACUAGAGUUUGAUAUCCAAUUUUUAUAGACAUCAUUUAUCUUCAAAUAAUUUAUUUUAUAAACUAAAUAUAUGGACAAAAUAGUAAUAAUAUAUUUUUUGUUUUUUAAUUAAAAAAAAGUUAUUAACUCACGAAAGAGUUAAAUAACUAUCGCAAUCCUGAUGAAAUUAAAUAACCGCUCUACUUACAAACAUCUAUCACUCUCGUCGAUCUUCUUUUGUGUGUCUUGCUAUUUUUUGAGUGUGACAUACAUUUAUUAUUCAACAAAUCAAUAAUCACAUUGUCACCAAAGAACAAAUGCAACAUCACCUCGCAAGAAAGCCUGCUUUGACAAGGGAGUUGAUACAACUCCAACUCCAAUUCUAAUGCCAAUUCCAUUGUUAAACACAUGUAUCUAUAUUUUGUCUUUUAAAAAAUAUGAAUAGAAACACACGAUAAUGGAAGUGGUUCAAAUAAUAGACGUUAUGAUAAUAUAAGUGAUUGGUAUUUUAUAUUCACGGUUUAUUUUAUUUUUGAGUACUAAUUUUUAAUUUUUAAAAGAAAAUUCAAAAGACAAGUACUCUUUAUCAUAACCCAUUUUUACAUCUAAAGUUUUUUUUAUAAUUGUAGAUCGAGUUGCUCAAUAUCUCAAAAAGUAUCUUAUAUGGACCAACUUCAAACAAUAUAUAAAGGUAAUAUUACAAUUUGAUGUCGAACUUUUGAAAAAAUCAUUUGCCUUCAAACAAUUCAUUUCACAAAAUAAAUUUAAUAGAUAAAAUAGUAACAAUAAUUUUUUUAAAUAUUUUAUCUUCAUCAUAUAAUAUAUAAUAUUUAUUCAAAAAAAUUUUCACAAUGAAUAAAUUUAAAGAUAUGUUAGAUAUGUUUACUAUGUAUAAAAUGCCUAAUAACGAAUAAGAUUAUGAAUUUCAUAAUAAAUAAUUAAAAUANNNNNNNNNNNNNNNNNNNNNNNNNNNNNNNNNNNNNNNNNNNNNNNNNNNNNNNNNNNNNNNNNNNNNNNNNNNNNNNNNNNNNNNNNNNNNNNNNNNNNNNNNNNNNNNNNNNNNNNNNNNNNNNNNNNNNNNNNNNNNNNNNNNNNNNNNNNNNNNNNNNNNNNNNNNNNNAUAAUUGAUAAUGAAUAAAAAAUAUUUAUAUUUUUUAUGCAGUUAUACAGGUUAUAUUUAAUUUAUUCAAAAAUAAAAAGAUUAUAUUUAUCAUUUUAAGUUAUAUUUAAACAAAUAUUUAUUUAUUUAGCUAUAAAUAUAUUCUAUAUUCAUUAAAAUCUAUCAAUAUUUUUUUGUUACAUCGUUUGAUACGUAUUAUUAAAAUCUAUAUUUAUUAAAGUUAAUUAAUACUUUUAUUUACAUAUUAAUACGUAUUAAUCUAGAAUGGCUUUAAAAAACGCAUCACAUAAGAAUAGUUGGUAUGAAUAAAGCAAGAGUAAUUGUUGAAAAUAAUAGGAGUGGUAAGAAUGAAUGAAAAAAUAAUAGAAUAUUAAACAAUUUAUAAUGGACUUUGGAUGCGUGGAGAGCAAGUAAUAGAUACCAUAAAACAUAUAUAAAAGGUUUAGACACAAAAAUUGUAUGAAACUAUAAGCAUGUAGGUGCACUGGUGGUGACAUGAAAUCAACGUGCCAACAAAUACAACAUGAAGCGAAAUAGUAAGAAAGUAUUCAGCAGGCGAAGAAGUUUUAAUGUGCAGUAUACACGAUAAAAACAACAGUUUAUAAUAGAUUUUGGAUGCGUAGAGAAGUAAUAGUUAGAUACCAUGGGACAUAUAUAAAAAUUUUAAACACAAGAGUUGUAUGAAACCAUGAGCACGUAGGUAUACUGGUUACAUGAAAUCAACAUGCCAAUAAAUACAAAAUGAAGCGAAACAGUAAGAAAGUAUUCAGUAGGUGAAGAAGUUUUAAUGUGUAGUAUCCAUGAUAAUAGAUACUACAGAUAUUGUGCCUCAUGUAGUAUAUUAUUGGUAUCAAUAGGUCCUAUGUGUUACUUUGGAGUGAUAUUAUUGAGUUGUAUAAUUAUAUUUGGUAUUUCGUUGAUAAUGGAUGUUACCUAUUUUUUAUGAUACUGCUAAAGAGAAUAAUUUAAUAAAUCAUAAGAUAUUUGUUUUUGUUUCUUUUCAUGAUUCAAAUUGUAUGAAUAAUCUAAAAAACAGUGAGGUGCAGUAGUUUGUUAAAAAAAAUUUGACGAUAAAAAGUAUGAAUAGGUUAUCCUUAUGAAAGUAUAAGAGGGGCUCCAAAAAUAUAACAUAUAUAUAUGCUAUUAUGUAUUUUUUUUCACUUUUCAAUUUCUUUUAUCUUAUUUUAAUUCUACUAACAUAAUCCGAAACUAAUUUUGCAGAUAUUUAUUUCACUAACAAUACAAAAGAUUUUACGCAUAACUUUUUGUAAAAAAUUAUUAGUUUUGUCUUCUAUAAUAUCAUUUGUGGCAUAUGAUACUAGUUAUUUGAUUGGCAUAUGAAUCACGCAGUUUAUAUUUAUCAAUAAUUUGUUAACACAUUAAUAGAUUAAUUUUCUAAAUUACUAAUUAUGUUAUGUAUUGUACGUGACAUCUAACUACAUGAAAAUUUGUUUAUACUUAAAUUAAAUAAAUAAAUUAUAUUUCAAAAAAAUUAAUUAAUUUAAUAUUGUUCGUUUAACAUAUGGCACAAAUUAUUUGAUUCGCUUAUAAAGAACUCAAGAAAGUCUGCACCUACUAAUGAUGGAAUAAAAAGUCUCACGCAUAUUUUAUUAACUUUUUUUUUCUUUUUUAAUCUAUUUUAUAUUGGAUAAUAUUAUUUUUUACUGAUUAUUAGAUUAAUAUAUAAUAUUAAAGAUGUGACAAGAUAAGACCAUUUGUUGAAUUAAUAUUUUAACUAUUUGACAACCCAAUAAAAUAAAAUUAUUUUAUUUUAUUAGUUUUUCUAAUUUAUUUUAUUGUAUUUUUCUUUUACUUUAAAAAUUUUAGGGUCUAAAGAUCUCAAUUUAAAUAAUUUUAAUCAUUAGUCACCAAAAAAAAAUAAUUUUAAUCAUUUGAUAAAAAGUAGAUCGGGAAAAUAGGUUUGAAUUUGAACUAAAAUAAACAUAUUGAAAUACAAUAAACAGAACUGUUAAUUUAACAUUUAUUAAUAAAUAAUUACUAGAACCAACGAACUCCCUUUAAAGUUUUUUCAAUCCCGCUUUUUAAUUCAUUAUCAUCAUCUCCAAAUAGUAUAUAGAUCUACAAACAAUACAUAGUAAUACACAAAAAUGCACGGACAACAAGCAUGACUUUUUCAAGGAUUUCUUUAAUUAUAAAUUAAAAAAAAAUCCAUAUUUAACAACGGCAAUCAUUGUUAUGGUCUCUAAAAAUACAUAGGUACACCGGAAUAAGCCAUAUUUAAUAAAAAAAUUUUUAAUUAUAAAUUAAAAAAAUAAUUAUUUUCGAAAAAUAAUCCACUUCAAAUAUGUCAUAUUGAAAAGUUAGCAAUGGUAACCAUUAUUAUCGUUUUCAGAGUACAUAAGAGUACACAAAAAGUACACAAGAACAAUCCUUGUUAUUUUUGGGAAAUAGUUAUUUUUUUAAUUUAUAAUUAAAAAAAUUCUUGUUAAAUAUGGCUUAUUUCGGUGUACCUAUGUAUUUUUAGGGAGGAUAACAAUGGUUGCCAUUGUUAAAUAUGGCUUAUUUUUUUAAUUUAUAAUUAAAAAAAUCUUUGAAAAAGCCAUGCUUGUUGUCAGUUUAUUUUUGUGUAUUCAUAUAUACUGUUUGUAGAUUUAUAUAUUAUUUGGAGAUGAUGAUAAUGGAUUAAAAAGCGAAAUUGAAAAAACUUAAAAAGGACUUCGCCGAGUCUGGCGAACUUGCUUAAAUGCAAAAAAAAAAUCUUAUUUGAAGAAUUAAAGUCCAAAAAUCAUGUUGGGGAAAUAAUAAUUUUUUUUAUUUUAUAAAUAAAAAAUGCCAGUAUUAUUAUAGUAUAAUCACAUUAUUUUAAAACAUAUAAAAUAAAAUAAUAAAGUACAAUUUAAUUAAUAUGCACAAUAAAAUAAAUAUGAAACUUAUAUAGUGAUAAUCCAAUAUGAAAAGCAAUGAUGUACUAUAUUAAAUUGCAACUAAAAUUUAUAAUUAUUAGUUACAAAACUUAUAAUGUUGUACUAUUACUUAUUACAUUAAUUAAAAAUAAAUAUUUUGAUAUUAAUUUUUAGGAUUAUUGACAACAAAUUUUGAUCAUUUGAACAAAAAUUUUGAAUAAUUUAUGUCAUAAAUUUUUUUUAAUAAAUUAAUAAGAUGACUUAUCAGGCAAAUUAAGAAAAUAACUAUAAUUUUUAUACAUCUAGAUAUUCAAGAGAGACAAAAAAAUUAUUUUAUCAAAAUUUUAACAACACAUAAAAAUUAUCAUAAUAGAUUGUUAUAGAUCAAAAUGAUAGAUAAGAUUAAGAGUUAUAAUAAUAGUCCUGGGUGAUAAUUAAUUAUGAUAGAGUGAAGAGAAGAUGGAAAGAGAAGAAGAAGAAGAAGGAGAAGAAAACAAGAAAAGAGGAAAGAAUAAGGUAAUAUAACAGUGGCGAUGAGACAAUACUAGAUAUGUGUAUAAAGAAUAAUAGUAAGAGAAAAGAAUAGUAUGUGACAUAGUGAAAAAAAUUAAUAAAAAUAUAAAUUAAUAAUUAAAAAAUAAUGAAACUAAAGAUAAUUUAAGAAAUUGAAUAUAAAAUUAAAAAAAAGUAUAUUUUUUAUUUAUUAAAAAUAUGUAUGAAGAUAAAGACAACAUNNNNNNNNUUAAUCUGAACAGGCACGAAUUGUUGAGCCACUAGUAUAUAUAAUUAGGGUUUAAUCAACUAAAUAAUAACGAAGCUGAUUAUUGGUUGAUAAUAAGAGUGUUUAUGGCCCGACUUAGCCCGAAAACCCGGCCUGAUCCAAAAGAUGGGGUUGAUUUAAUCCAUGCCAUGUUUGGUGCAUUUGUUGUUGCGGUGUUGAUUCCAAAAGAUGGACCAUUUACCAGUGUUAUUUGGGAGAAAGUAGAGGAUCUUGUUUCGGCCAUUUUUUUUCCAACUCUAUUUUGUGUCAAGUGGAUUGAAGGAAUAACACGUAUGAUGUAAUAAUAUUGUAAAGAUGGGUUAUUUAGAUUCCAUUAUCCAUUUGUUUGCAUCCAAUUUAUUUGUGAUUUAUUAUUUGGAGCACUCUACUAUACAGAUUAGAAUGGUAUAGAGAGAAUAUAAUUCCUUUUAUAGUUAUUUUUUAUUAUUUUAUUAUUAUUCAAAAUGUGGAUCCUACUUUUAUUAAUCUCUCUUUCAUUCUAUUAAAGAAAAAAUCUAUAAACUUACAUCUUUACCAUAUAAUUAUUAUGUUCGUUAUAUGAAGAGUUUGUUAGGACCUUUUAACGUGGUGUUUGAUAAUAAAUUCUACUAAAUUCUACUCUUCUAAUGUCUCAAAAGAAAAGUGAGUUUAAUUAUAGUUAUAUACAUUAUAUAUUUUUUAGAGAGCAUUUAAAUAACAAUAUAAAUUGGGUGUGGCCCGAACUAAAAUUGAAUAAAUAUCAAAAGAAGUUCAAUAACCAUUUUUCAAAUAAAAAAUAUAGAUUCACAAUUACAUAACUUAAAUUUCAUUUUGAAAGAUAACUAAUUUAUUGUUCACAUUUAAAUUUUGAUAUUUAUUUAUAUAGUGUUGAUAGAGAAUAUUUUAUCUUUGAUUUGAAAUAUACUACCUAAUUUUUUUCACUAAAAUAUUGAUCUUUUAAAAGGUUAUGGGUUAAUAUUCACUCAUUUUUAAAAGGUUAUCUAAUCUUUGAAUUUGUUUACAAAGUUUUUGAUUAAUCAAAUUAGUUCUUAAAAAAUAAAUUUGUAAGUCGAAAUGCCAAUUGAUUGAAAUGCAAUUGCUGACAUUUUGUCUUUAUAAUGCUUGUUUACUUUGUUAUAAAUACCAUUAUUUUACGGCUAUUUAUUUUUUUAUUUAGAUAAGAGUUGUAUUGUUAUAAUUAAUAUAAACAGAGGUUAGUCUUUAGAGGAUUCCUUAUCCUCAUCUUCUUUUGUAAUUAUUGUUCUAUUAUAUUCAAUUGCAUUUUUCAAACUUUGAUCUCUUGCUUUGCAAAAUGGGUAUCAAGUUACUAUAAAGUUAACUCCCUGUUUUGGAUAUUUUAGACUAGAAUUUUUUUUCAUCUUGCCAACAUAAUAUGGAGUGAAGCGGGUGAGAAUGAUGAUCAUAUCUUGUCCAAUAUCGACGGAAGUCAAGAUCUUUGCAACAAGAAAGAAUGGAAUCAAGAAGCCGGACCAUUCCAUCCCAUUUAAAAGAACCCUGAACUUAAAAAAAAAAUGCUCUCAAGUAGCUCAUUUCUUCUCAUGUAUUUUUAAGACAUAACUACAAACUGGAUGGUAAUAACGAUUGUGGUCUGGUCUCAAACUUGAAUGUACUUGCACACUUAAAAUUCAUAUUGGUGUGGAGGUCUAUUGAGUGUUUUAAGUUAGAGGUUUUUCUAAUGAUGCCUGAGAUUUAUACAUUAUUGAUAUAAAUGGAGGAACUGAUGAGAAAAUUAAAAGAAAACUAAAAUUGAAAAUUUACCUUAGAAUGCCUUAAAGUAAACAAAAUUUAACUAAUUACAAAUUACAANNAUAAUGAUAAAAAAACAAAUGUAAUUAUAUAAAAAAAAUUUAUACUAUCAAUAUAUUAAAAUUAAACUCACUAACAAAUAUAUAAUUUAUUCUUUAUCGAAUAUAUAACAUGUUCUUUUAAUUUAUCCUUUAAUUAAAUUAAUUGUACCUACGUGUUGGUGCAAUUGUCAUCACAAGCCCAAUUGCCAGCACACGGUGAAAUUGAUUUCGAGUUCUUGAAAAACUUAAGCAGUGACUCUUUGGUUCGAUCCCACCAAGAACUUCUACGCUUACUCUGUCAUUUGGAAGCCCCAACAUAUCAUGUAAGUUCUUCAGUAAUAUAAGUUUUACUUCUUUUAAUUUCGUAACAACAUUGAAUAAUAUAUAUAAUUUUAAAUUGAAACAAUAAAAUAAAAGAAUUUUAACUAAACAAAAUUUUUAUUUUUUUUUUCUUUUUGAUUAUAGAGUACUAAAAUUUCAUAUAUAGACAGUUUUUCUUUCUUAUAAUGAAAGAGUACUCAAACUUCAUAUUACAUUCGAGUAUCAAAUCACGUACUGCAACAUAUGAGCUACAGAAAAAAAUAAAGUUAGGUCCAGAUCGAAUAGGAUUUGGAUCGGAUAGGGAUUGAUUUUCUAUUUAUUUGUAUGAAACUAUGAAUUAAGUAUUAAGUNNNNNNNNNNNNNNNNNNNNNNNNNNNNNNNNNNNUUUUUAUCUUAAAAUGAUAUUUUUAUCUUUUAAAAAUUAAUUACAAAAUUAUUUUACUUUUUUUUGUAAUUAAAUUAAAUUUUUAAUUAAAAUUAAAUAAAUUUAAUAUUAAAAGAUAUUUUAGUUUUUAAAAUUAAUAUUAAAAAAUAUUUUUUUAUCUAAUUUUUUAUUUUUGUUAUAAUUUUGUAAUAAUUUAAUAUCAACUAAAAAAUAUAAUAAAUUUAAAUUAAAACAAUAAAAUGAAAAGAUAGAAACUAAACAAAAUUUUUAAGGAAUACUAAAACUCUAUAUAUAGACGUUUUCUUUUUCUUAUAUAAAGAAUACUAAAAUUCCAUGUUACUUUAGAGUACAAGUAAGGCGAGGACUAGGAACCACUUUGUGAUCUGUUAACUACUGCGCUCUUUCCACACUAGGCCUUCCUGCUGUUGGAGUAACGUGCAAUGUAUGCUUUCUUUGAAAUCUUUUAUUUAUAAAGUUUCUUGGUGGUUGACUUAUUGUUCAUUGAAGGAGUGUGAUUCGAAAUUGUCGCCCUACUAUUUCCCAUUAAAAAAAGCGUCAUAGAUAACCGGCAACCGCGUAAAGUAGGGGAAAGCCAAAUCAGAGUUAUUCAUAUGGCCAUAUAUAUAUAUAUAUAUAGAGUACUACUUUCUUGCAUGCUGUUAACUUCGAUCACUGGCUUCUCAAUUUUAAAACAUACAGCGCCUUCUCUUUUCUACUGAGUUUUGACUUCGAUCUGAGCUUCUAACCAUUCCGUUGGUUUGUCUGCGUUAUUUUUCUUUGCAUUCUCUGCAUAUGUAUCAAUGUUAUAGUCAUUUAAUUUCUUUUUUUAACGUUAAUUUCAACUAUACUUCUUUGUUUUGGGUAAGUUUGUAUUGUUUGUUUCCCAUUGGUGUAAUAAAUUUGUACUUAUAAUUCUUUCCUUGCACGCUGCCAGUCUGCCACUACCACCAGCCAUGCAAUCGGUUUUGUGGGGUUAGCGUUUUUUUUUUCUGCUUCAGGAAUUUUUAUUUGACAUUUUUGGAGCCCUUAGAUUCAAACCUUAAUUAUAAUCGAAUUAGUAAUGAUACUUCUGUUUGUAUGAACUACCGAUCAUCUUUGGUUUACUGCUCUCGUGUACGACCAUUCUCUUCUGUUUACUGCUUGAAAGUGUUUGCUAUAGAAACAUAGAAAGUUCUAGAGAAAAGAAAGAUGCAUUCUUGAUUGUGUUUCAGUGGUUUUUAUUUUAGUGCGUUUUGAGUUUUCAGGCCAAAGAUGCUGUCCCCGCUAAAGAGUGGUCUUUAAUUUGGGAAUGGAUCUUCUGGUUUGACAAAUUCACAUAAACCUUGUCAUGUUUUUUAUUGUCACUACUGAUUAGAAGUUAGGGUCCUUUUUCUUGAUAAGGUCACGAGAAUGUGAAAAUUUAAAUAAAAGAAUAUAUUCCCACGUACUUUGAUUUUGAUUACCAGAUCUUCAGUUCUUAUAUGAGAGAUUUGAAAGAAGAUUCCUAUUUUUGGCAGAAAUUUAAGUGAGAGUCUGGUGUAGCUUUGGACUUUGCAGUGGUGAAAAUGGUUAUCAAUGCUACUUCUGCAAGUGCUUGCCCCCCACCCAUGAAACCAACAUCAAAUGGUGUGUUUCAAGGAGAUAACCCUCUUGAUUUUGCACUCCCGAUGGCUAUUUUACAGAUAUGCCUAGUAUUUGUAGUCACAAGAGGAUUGGCAUAUAUUAUAAGGCCUUUGAGGCAGCCAAGAGUCAUUGCAGAGAUUGUGGUAAGUUCAUUUCUCUUAAAAUAUCUGCAGCACUAUCUAAUGAAUUUAGAAUUUAACCUGUAAUGUUUAUCUAUCAUAAGAUUUUUGUAAUACAAUUUGUACAAUUACCCUCCAUACAGCAGGGAAAUAAAAAGCGUUAUUAAGUUCAAUACAUUUUAGAAAUUUCUUUAGGAAAGGACUAAGUUGUGACUUAUAUUAGAGGUUUAUUGAAAGGGAGAGAUGAUGCUCCAUGAUUUAACACUACUUCUCAUUGACAGGGAGGAAUAUUACUUGGGCCAUCAGCAUUAGGACGAAAUAAAAGCUAUUUGAAUGCUGUUUUCCCCUCCAAGAGUCUUACAGUACUGGAUACUCUGGCAAAUAUUGGCCUUUUGUUCUUUCUAUUCCUUGCAGGCCUAGAGUUAGAUCCUAGAUCUUUGCGUCAAACAGGAAAACAGACCCUUGCCAUUGCUAUUGCUGGAAUAAGUAUACCUUUUGCCUUGGGAAUUGGUUCAUCAUUUGUUCUUAAAGAAACAAUUGCCAAAGGUGUAAAUGGUACUGCAUUUCUUGUGUUUAUGGGUGUUGCUCUAUCCAUAACUGCUUUCCCUGUGUUGGCUCGUAUUUUGGCCGAGUUGAAACUUCUAACCACCAAUGUUGGUAGAAUGGCUAUGUCGGCCGCAGCAGUAAAUGAUAUUGCUGCUUGGAUUCUGCUUGCACUUGCUGUUGCCUUGUCGAGCGAUAGCGAGUCUCCACUAGUGUCAUUGUGGGUCUUCUUAUGUGGAUGUGGUUUUGUUCUUUGUUCAAUCAUCAUUGUCCCUCCGAUUUUCAAAAGGAUUACACAACGAUGUAAUGAAGGCGAGCCGGUGGAUGAGAUAUAUAUAUGUGCUACAUUAGUUGUUGUUUUGGCCGCGGGUUUUGUUACAGAUGCUAUUGGAAUCCAUGCCAUGUUUGGUGCAUUUGUUGUUGGUGUGUUGAUUCCAAAAGAUGGACCAUUUACCAGUGCUCUUGUGGAGAAAGUAGAGGAUCUUGUUUCGGGCAUUUUCCUCCCACUCUUUUUUGUGUCAAGUGGAUUGAAGACCAACAUAUUCACCAUUCACGGCCUGCAGUCAUGGGGUAUUCUGGCCUUAGUUAUUUUCACUGCUUGUUUUGGGAAGAUUGUUGGAACCGUUGUUGUAUCACUCUUCUGUAAAGUACCCUUGAAGGAGGCUUUAGCUCUGGGAUUCCUAAUGAACAGUAAGGGCUUGGUUGAAUUGAUUGUUCUCAACAUUGGCAAAGAUAGGAAGGUAUUAAAAUUCUCUUGCUAUUGAUAUUCACUAACUAUUUUAUCAUGUUAUAUGUUUCUAUCAAUCAAAGAAAUGAAAACUUAAUAUGUGCUUUUUGCAAUUUGCAGGUUUUAAAUGAUCAAACCUUUGCCAUUAUGGUUCUUAUGGCAGUAUUUACCACAUUCAUUACCACUCCUCUUGUCAUGGCUGUGUAUAAACCUGCAAGAAGGGGAAAAAUAGAUGAUUACAAAUACAAAACAAUUGCAAGGAAGAACACAAACAGCCAAUUGAGGAUUCUUUGCUGUUUCCAUAAUGCAAGAAAUAUUCCAUCAAUGAUAAACUUGAUUGAAGCCUCAAGAGGAAUCCAGAAGUCCGGUGGAAUUUGUGUGUAUACAAUGCACCUCAGAGAAUUUUCUGAGAGGUCAUCAACAAUCUUAAUGGUACAUAAGGCAAGGAAAAAUGGGUUGCCAUUCUGGAAUAAGGGUCAUCCCUCUGAUGCUGAUCAUUUAAUUGUGGCAUUUGAGGCUUACCGUCAACUGAGUCAAGUGUCUGUCAAACCAAUGACCGAAAUCUCAUCUAUGGCAGACAUGCACGUAGACAUUUGUGCAACUGCUGGGGGAAAGAAAGCUGCAGUAAUCAUUCUUCCGUUUCAUAAGCACCAAAGAUUGGAUGGCUCAUUAGAGACAACAAGAAGUGAUUUUAAAUAUGUUAACAGAAGGGUCCUUGAGAAUGCUCCAUGCUCAGUUGGAAUUCUCGUUGAUCGUGGCCUUGGUGGUACAUCCCAUAUAUCUGCAAGCAAUGUUUCUUAUUCCAUUACAGUGCUUUUCUUUGGUGGAAGUGAUGAUCGCGAGGCCCUCGCUUAUGGUGCUCGAAUGGCCGAGCACCCUGGCAUAAGAUUGGUGGUUCUUGGCUUUGUCGUGGAACCAAGUACCACAGGAGAUAUCGUUAGAGUGGAUGUGGGAGAAUCCUCUUCCAGCGCCAAAUUAGUCUCAGAGGACGAGGAGUUCCUUAAUGAAUUCAAGGCAAAAGUAGCUAACGAUGAUUCUGUGACAUGUGAAGAGAAAGUAGUAAAGGAUGCAGCAGAAACAGUUGCUGUGAUCUGCGAGUUCACUCAUUGCAAUCUGGUUCUUGUGGGUCGAAGGCCACAAGGUGAAUUGGCAUAUGCUCUCAAGAGAAAUGAAUAUCCGGAACUUGGACCAAUUGGUUCUUUGCUGGUAUCUCAAGAUUGCCCGACAAUAGCAUCCGUCUUGGUAAUGCAGCAGUAUCAGCAUCAAUAAUUUGGUUAAGGUUGUGUUAACAAGUGAUUUGGUCAAUUUUAAAUCCUUUUUGGUUUUUAACUUGUCAAGUGUUUAGAUGUAUAUAUCUGAAAGGCUAAGAUAAUAAUUUCUAAGUCUAAAUGGCAUUUAGACAAUUUUUCUUCUCACUUAGGAUGAUUGAACAUGAAUUCAUCAGAGAUUACAUGGCACUUGUAAGCUUUGCAGUUAAUUUACCGGAAUUUUUUAACCAGUCUCUUGUAAAUGUUUAAUUGAAUGACCUUAUGUACUUGAAACAAAUUCAUUAUUCUAUUAAGGAUUUUUCUUAAGGUGUGGAUAGUAAAAGUAAUCCACACAUAUGGAUAGUAUGUGCCAACUAUAGGCUUGCAACCCUUGCCACUAGUCUCCCUUGAUUUUUAGAUCUAUUGCAGAAAGGAGGCGCAGUAACGCAGAGGGGUGACAGUUGAUGUGCAGAAUGUGUUACACAAUUAGAGUUGGCUAAAAGUGGGAUUAAGUUUAAUGAUUUUUGAGUGUUUUUGUUAUUGACCCACCUUAAGUGCUUCCAAUUUCUGGGACUCAGACCCGUGGGGUUUAUGAAAAAUUCUCUUUUUUUUUUUGGACUUUUUGUUUGCCAUAAUAUGUCAUUAAUAUGUUGUAAUGAAUUGCAAUACCAAAAAAGCAAAUUCUUAUAAAACACAUACUUUCAUAAUAAAGUGAAUAUUUUUCUUUUUGUAAUAUAUUUGUGCAAAAAUAAAGUAUUUUCUAGAAGAAGGGAAAAUUAUUAACAUAUAUUACCAAACAAUGUUAUAAGGAUGAGGGGGUAGAAAAAAAAAAAUUUAUAGGAGUUAAUUCAUAAUUGGUAUGCAGGAAGGUUUUUUUUUUUUGAAAUUAAGCAACCUUGUGUAUAAUUCUAAUCUCUAAUAUAAUGAAGCGACUGUAACCCAAAAAGAAUAUAGUAGUCCUCUUAAAAAUUGACAGUAAAAUAACACUCUAGUUAUUUUAAAAUUAAUUAAAAGGAUGUUUUGGUUUUUUUAUAAUCAAAUUCAAAAUACUGAUUUGUACGCUUUAACUCUAAAAUGGUACUUAAGCUCUUUUAAAAUAAAAUUAAAGUUAGUAUCUAAUUUUGGAUACAGUGAAAAGCUGUCAUUCUAAGAGGGUAUAUUCAUCUUUUUAGUAGGGGUGUUCACGAGUCGAAUUAGUUCGAGUUUGGGAUAAAAUGAGAACUUGAACCAAUUAACUUGUAACGGGUUUGGAUUGGUUUGGUUUUAUAUUUUUUUGUGUAUCCGAAUCAAACCAAACCAAUUAAAAACGGAUUAAUUUGAUUUGGAUAAUUGUGUACCCGAUGAAAUAGAAAUUAAAAAAAAAAUUGAAAAAAUGAAAUUUUUUUUAGAAAAAUAAUGUAAAUAAUGAUAAACAUGUAAUAUCAACUAACAAGUCAAUAAUAUUUUAACAACAAGAAAAUACUCAUAAAUUCACAAUUAUAAACUUAUAAUAGAGUUAGAUUAAUUAGUAUAAAAANNNNNNNNNNNNNNNNNNNNNNNNNNNNNNNNNNNNNNNNNNNNNNNNNNNNNNNNNNNNNNNNNNNNNNNNNNNNNNNNNNNNNNNNNNNNNNNNNNNNNNNNNNNNNNNNNNNNNNNNNNNNNNNNNNNNNNNNNNNNNNNNNNNNNNNNNNNNNNNNNNNNNNNNNNNNNNNNNNNNNNNNNNNNNNNNNNNNNNNNNNNNNNNNNNNNNNNNNNNNNNNNNNNNNNNNNNNNNNNNNNNNNNNNNNNNNNNNNNNNNNNNNNNNNNNNNNNNNNNNNNNNNNNNNNNNNNNNNNNNNNNNNNNNNNNNNNNNNNNNNNNNNNNNNNNNNNNNNNNNNNNNNNNNNNNNNNNNNNNNNNNNNNNNNNNNNNNNNNNNNNNNNNNNNNNNNNNNNNNNNNNNNNNNNNNNNNNNNNNNNNNNNNNNNNNNNNNNNNNNNNNNNNNNNNNNNNNNNNNNNNGAUUCUAUUUCUCUAAAACUAAUAUCCAAACCAAUCACGAUCAGAUAUCAUCAGAUUAGGUUCAAUUAUACUCAAUUGUCCAUUGGUUCCAGAAUCAAUUUAAUCGAUUCGAUUUGGUUCAGAUUUAUACAGACAAUCGGAUUACUCGAACCCAUGAACACCCCUACUUUUUAAAAUAAAUCCUAAUAGUGUAUAGUUAUUUUGAAAUAAACUAAAAAGAUAUUUAAUCCCAUUAAAAAUCAAUUGAACUCAUCCUACUUUGUAAUAAAUCAAACAUUGUUAAUUGUCGUAUAAAGAUAUUUUAUUCUUUUAAAACUAACAAAAAAACAUUGUGUUUUUCUUUUAAAAAUGAAGUAUAGGGAUAGUAUUUUACUCUCUUUAAUACAAAAUUAAAGUUUUUUUAUUUUCUAUUGCAAUAAUUUUUUUUGUUAUGGAAGUAGAAGUGGUGAUAUACCUUAACAUUGUAAUUUUUGGUGUUUUUUAAAACUGUGGAAGUACAGAAAUCGGAGGGUCCGAUUUCUGUACCUUAAAAUUUUUUUUUUUACCACAAAUCGGACGGUCCGAUUUGUGUACCUCCCACAAAUCGGACGGUCCGAUUUCUGCACUUCCCACAAAUCGGACGGUCCGAUUUCUGUACCCCUACAAAUCGGACGGUCCGAUUUCUGCACCUCUACAAAUCGGACGGUCCGAUUUCUGCACCUCUAAUAAAUCGGACGGUCCGAUUUCUGCUUCUCUAAUUAAACGAUCCCACACUUGAGUAACACCCCAACAAUCCACAUUUUAAAAAAACACCACUACCACUCCAAUAUUAAAAAUAAAAAACUCAAAGGAAUGCAUUAGUCACCGAAAAAAAAAAAAGAAAUGCAUUAAUCUUAUAAGGAUAUUUGGGAAACUUCAUGUAGUGGGAAAUUAUCAAGCUUUUAAUCUUAACAGCAGUUCCUGAUCCCUUCUUUUCAAUAAUAUACAAAUUAUAAUCUGCAUUUUCUCUUCUUUGUCUUUUCUUUAGUUGUAUUUUUCAUUUCAGAAUAUAGAGAUAGAAGUAGUUGAGGAAACGGUUGUGAAAGUAGAGGAAAGCCAAGCAGAAGAAGACGAUGCAGCAAUAUCGAGUUUUUCGAUGCCUAUACAGCUCAAGAACUUUCUACAGUUCUCAAGCUUUAGGGGGCACCAAAAUGCUCACAAAAAAGAGAGAACAACUAGAAGAAACGCCAAGAGGGCUUCUGCUGAGCACUCGUAUCUUCUAUUUGCUUCUUCGCUGUGGACCCCUCCUACGGUUUUUCCUUCAACCUUCAUCACUGCGGCGAAUCUCGCGUAUUUCCCAAGCCGCCAUAUUUCAGAAGGAUUUGGAUCAAAUGGCGAACAUGAAUUUGCUGGAGAUAAUGGUGUGUUUCCUUACCGAUUAAGUGAGGAUAUUGAUGAGAGAAGUUUCGGUGAUUGGCAAAGAAGCCUUGGAAGAAGCAGUAGCUUCAACAGUGUUGACACUUGACAGUUGACACAUCUCAACAAAUAUCAUUACUGAAGAGUGACACUCAAAACAUCGAGACAAGGACCAAUGGUGCAGAGAAAUAUCAAAAGUUUGAUUUCUCUCUCCAUUUGUAAGCUCCCUUUUAUAGAAUGAGGCUUCUCAAGGUUGACAUUGAGAUUGAGGAAUUGGCUUUUAAGGGAAAUUGACCGUCUUGGAAAAAAAUAAUUCCAUUUUUCCGAAUAAUGAAAUCAUAUUUCAGAUUCACAUUCACACCUAAAACAGGAGAGACCCCCCUCAAAUUUUUUCUUUUUCUCUCUUGUUUUUUUUUCUGAAAUUUUUUCUUUUUUCAUUUAGUCAAUAUGACACCAACUCAGGUAUUAUCAAAUGAUAUAUUGAUGUGACAUCAGCAUAAAUUAUAUACGUAUAGUUCAAAGACUCAAUUUAUAUUAUCUGCAUGAAUUAAGGGCCUUUGUAAAACAAAUAAACAACCACUUGUUAGUUAAUCAGUAAUCACAUCUAACAGUAAUAACUAACACAACACAAUGAAUAAACCCGUGAUGAAAAGCAGCCGCGAACAAACCCAAAACACUUCGAUAUUGCCAUCAUGAACCGUUAUGUUUGCACUUACUCAUGAUUCUAGCAAUGUUCAACUUCCUCACUACUUAAAUAACCCAGAAUUCCAAGGUGCCUAAGAAAAAAAAAAAGAAUGUAGCAAUAGAUUAGUUCCAUCAUCUUCUAGCUAUGACAUGAAGUACUUGACUAGCCAGUAGCCAAUGCUUAGCACCACUGAAUUAAAAGUAGGAGAUAAAAAUUUAUUAGGUGAGUGAAAAAGAUGUGAAAGUAAGUAAGAAGUUAGUCAUAAUCACCCUUCCAUCAAUAACUUCAAUUGAAAAUGAUUAACCUCUCAUUUUUUCCACUUUACAAACUUUCACUUUAGAUGAUCUAAAGUCCUUUAAGAACAUUCAACUUUUCCUAAUGUCUUGCAUGCACAAUGAAGCCUCAUACCUGCAUCAUUAUGGACUGCAUCUUUCUUAAUGCUAUUAUGACUUUGCUCUGCCAGGCUUAACGCUGGAAUGAGAUAGAAUAGGAACCAGUGUUUGGAUCUUUAACUGUUUUGAAGUUAUCGACACUCAUCCCAAACCGGCCCAAGACAGAAUUUCCCAUUUCUUUUAGUUUUGCUGCAUCAAGAAACAGUUCUUCAGUGCAAGUAAAAUGAAGAUAGCAAAUCGUACCGGAUUAUAGUUUAUAGAAUGUAAGUACAUAGAAAAUAUUCGGAACUGAAGAUAAGACUCUGCAGCCUCUACCAAGAGGUAAAGAAGCAGAUAAUAGGUUUAACAUGAAAGACAACCAGGAAGAUAAUAGGCUUAACAUGCAAGUGCAGCUAGCAGCUCUGCCUGGAAUCCAAAAGGUUUUGUUUGAGCAAUAAAUAAAUCAAGCACCAAAGACUGCAAUUCAAGAUAAAAGAUAAUUUAUAUAACUAGACAAUCCUAAAGUUUCUCCUCCAACUACAAGAUUCCCAAAUCCCAAUUAACAAAUGCCAACUCUAUGCCCAUCACACAUAACACAGAGCAUACUAGUCUAAACUCUCAAGAAAACACAAUCUAUAUCCACAAGAUAAAAUGCAAUCUCUGAAAACCCAAAGUUGCAUACAUCAUCACUCAAACAUAAUAGUAUAUCUUUCUAUCACCUAGGUAUCCCAUGCUUAGAAAUAUCGUAGUAAGGCAUCCAUAAAUUCCUUUGAUAAAAUAAUUUUCAUCUGACUAAACUAACAUAUGGACUUAGCCAAUUUCAACCACAUGAUUGCAAAUAAAUCUUAAGGAUGGACGAAAAAGCUAAAUGAAUGUGCCAAUAAAUACACAGAAACCGAGACAGGAUGUUUUUCCGUCAUUGAUGGUAGUUUUGCAGCAGCAAGAAGAAAUAAAGAAAAGAGCAUCAUAUUUGGGUAACAUUAUAAAUGUAUGCAUGAAGGAUCAAGGUAAUGUAAGGAAAUAAUGCCCAUGCCCUGUUCUAUGCGAAGUACAUGAUACAAUGGCAACUAUAAUUGAAAUCCAAGAUAAAGAUGAAAACAGAAACUUGCCAAUCAUCUCUUCCUUCAUCAUUUCCCGCUUUUCUGCAGCAAGCGGCUCAAGUCGCCUGAUGGCCUUCCUAGCUUGAUCAUUUGAGGGAUCAAUUUCUAAGAUCUUUUUCAUAUCUGUCAAUUGAUAUUUGAAAAAAUAACUAAAAUUAGUGAAGGCGAAAAAAUUAUGGUAUGAAUGAACUCAAUGAUGCGAAAAGGGGGAAAAAAAUCUGAAUGGCAUCAGAAUGCAAAACAUGUACUUCUUCAUUAAGAUCCAACAAUAAGGAAUGCAUAAUGAUACUCAUACUGGCUUUCCCUAAGUUGGCAAAUACCACAUAACAGUGGCACCUUUCCAGUUUGAGAAACACACUUACCCCCUUACUGUGCAAAAGAGAAUAAAGUUCAAUAACCCCUAAUAUAAGAUCUGAACUCACCAGCAAUGGCUUCUUCAAAAUGUUCAAGCUUUUCAUGAGCUUCUCCUCUUCUUACUAAAGCUUUAAUAUACACUGGAUUCAGAUCUAAUGCUUUUGUGCAUUCUUUAACUGUGUUGUCAUAUUUUCCCUGGGAUAUGUUUAGCAUAAGUUAAAGGAAAUUAGAUUCUUGACUUAAUCAAUUUCAAAUAAAAGGGCAAAUAUGAUGCAAGAUUCCAUACCAGCUUUAUCUAUGAUUAAAAUGACUUCAAAAGAUAUGAUUGGAAAAUCAAAAAAGAGGUACGAAAGAGUUGAACCACACUUAAAAGGGUCCUGUUUGCCAAAAAUGGCCCCUCGGAUGGAUGCAUGAGGUAUCUAGUUUGUGAGCUCCCAUAUUAUAUUUUUACUUUAAACAGGCCUCUUAAUUAAGCAAAGUUGGGUUCAUGUUUUGAAUAGACUAAUUACAUUAUGGAAGUAAUAAAUAUGUAUAUACUAAACUAGAUUAUAUUUAAUUAGUAAAUAGCCUCAAAUUCGCAAGUCUUACAAGGAACCAGACCAAUGCACAUCAAUAAAUAGUUAAAAUGCUAUAGGGUUUGUUUGGUUUAGUGCACAAUUUUCUUAAAGAAAUAGUUGAAACAAUAAAUUGUUUCCAAUUUUCCUUUUCUAUUUUCACUAUUACUUUUACACAAUGAACAUGUCAAGGAAAUUAUGGUUGGGUUAUAAUCUCCACAUCAUUAAGUUUGCCAAUUUACCCCUGUAACAAGAGAGAAUUAAGCUUAAAGCUUCUACUUUCUAUCUUGUAUACAGAUAGAAUUUUUUUUAUUUUCCAGAAUUAUGCAUUCCCUGUUUUCUGUAUAAUAAAACUUUUAAAUUCAAGAGUAAUGACAAUUUAACUGUCCAAAUAAUAACCAUAAAAAAAAUACCUAAUCAUACACUUCCAAAUUAGUAGGCAAAUCACACAGACCACUAGACAUAGGUUAUCAAGCUUUUUAGAAAAAUAAAAAAUAAAAAAAUAGAGAUAAAUAGUCCAUCUGAUUUACAACAUAAUAAUUGAUAGGAGAAGGUGCUGACAAAUGCUAUUCUCAUUAAUAGCAAGAAAGAACACCAUACCAGUUUCUGAAAGCACACAGCACGGUUUGCAUGACAUAUUGAGAGUAUUUCAACAGAUGAAGGCAUAUCAGGUGCAACUUGUAGAGCAAGUUCAUACUGGGAUAAUGCUUCCUCAUACUUCCCAUCCACAAAAAGCUUGUUCCCUUCUGCCUUUGCCUCAUUUGCUUGAACCAAUGCUUUCUGCAGCAUGUGGCAUAACUAUUUUGUGUAUUUUUAACCUUAAAAUGAAAAUGCAUGUUUUAAAUACCACAUCAAAUGGUUCAAUUUAGACCAGGACCAUUACGUAGAUAAUCGAUCAUGUUUUUAGUUAACCAAUUAGUCUGAAGACAAUUAGUCUGAAGACAAUUAGUCUGCUUAACCAAUUGAACAUAAUCUUGAGACUUCACAUGUUCUCUAGUGCAAUUUAUAAAUCACUACUGCUCAGACUCAAACUCCCUGAUAUUAUUAUGCAACCUAAUAGCAUCAAACCACUCCAUUAAAAUAAAGAAUCAGUAAAUUUUUUAUUAUAAACCAUUUUAACGAAUAAAUACACUGGAAAAUGAAACUAAGAAACAGUAAUUACUACCAAAGAACAUGAUCACGCUAAAAGAAGAAACCAAAUUAAAUGCAAAAUUAUCAAAACCCUAAAAUUUUGAAACCGAACCUUCUCCAAUUCCUCGUUGAUCAAGGGAUCCCCAGAGAAACUAUUACUUGGAGAAACACUCUGCUCAGGUUCCGGCUCCGAAUGCUCUGGCUUCGGCUGCUGUUGUUGAUGUUGCUGUUGCGGUUGUUCGAGCUGUUGAUCAUGGCUGCUAGCACCGACGUCAUCGCCUCCGGUGUCGCUGCCCAGGUCGGUGUCGCUGGCCGUUUCAAAACCGUCGGAAGCGUCGUUACCGGCAGCGUUGGAAGGAUUCGCGUUUCGAUCCUCAGUCUCUUGCUGCUCUAUCACCACCACCAUUUUCUCUCAAGGUUCAGUGUGAUUGGGGCUUGUUUCGAUGAUAACGGAAAGAAGUGAGGUGAGGGGCUAGGACUACUCGGGUUUGUUGUGACUUGUGAGUUCUGACGUUUUUUUUUUUUCUCCUAGUAUGGGAAAUGGAUUCUUUGGCUUGUUAAGAGAUCACAAUUUACUAUUUUAAUUGUUAAAAGAAAAAUGAGAGAAUUCAUUCUUAUUGGUCUGUGGUUGAAUUUCCAGACUCUUCUACAAUAUGAGAUGGCAUAGGAUCAGUCAGUCCNNNNNNNNNNNNNNNNNNNNNNNNNNNNNNNNNNNNNNNNNNNNNNNNNNNNNNNNNNNNNNNNNNNNNNNNNNNNNNNNNNNNNNNNNNNNNNNNNNNNNNNNNNNNNNNNNNNNNNNNNNNNNNNNNNNNNNNNNNNNNNNNNNNNAAUUAUUAUUUUCUUAUUCAUCACAAAACCAACAACAAAAUAGAUAUUUCUUUCAUAAAUAUUUUGGCAAUGCCAUUUUUUUUUUCUUGAUCCAUUAUAUCCAAAAUAUCGCAUAUUUUUUCAAAAUUCAAUCAAUUGAAUUUCACAAAGUAAUAAGAAUAUUUUCUUAUUCAAUCGAUUAAAUUUUGUAGGUGACUAAGAAUAUUUUCGUAUUAAUCGAUUGGUAUGAUAAUACAAUCGAUUAAAUUUUGUACGUGAUUAAAGUUUUUAUGUAUUCAAUCUAAUUGGUAUGAUCAUUCUAUCGAUUGAAAUGUGACGUAAAUAAGUUUUUUCUGCAUUCAAUCGAUUGGUAGGAUAAUCCAAUCGAUUGAAUUUUGAAUCGUGCCAUUCUCAAUUUUCAUAUCUUUUUAUAAAAUUUGAAUCGCGCUGUGACUAAUGGUUUAUAAAUUUUCAUAUUACCCAAUCGAUUGAGUUAUGGGAAACCUGAAAUUCAAUCGAUUGUUUUGUUAAUCCAAUCGAUUGAUUUUCUAAGAAACACGAUUUCAAAAUUCUCAACGGAUGUAAUGGAUCAAAGAUAAACUUUUAAUCGAUUGGAAUUGCCAAAAAGUCAUUACGAUUUUUGUUAUUGUUUUUGUUUUUGAUUAUUAAUAAACAUAAUAGAUGAAUGAUAAAAUAAUAAUUUAUAUAAUAAAAAAUAGUUUUUAAGAUNNNNNNNNNNNNNNNNNNNNNNNNNNNNNNNNNNNNNNNNNNNNNNNNNNNNNNNNNNNNNNNNNNNNNNNNNNNNNNNNNNNNNNNNNNNNNNNNNNNNNNNNNNNNNNNNNNNNNNNNNNNNNNNNNNNNNNNNNNNNNNNNNNNNNNNNNNNNNNNNNNNNNNNNNNNNNNNNNNNNNNNNNNNNNNNNNNNNNNNNNNNNNNNNNNUGUAAUUUUUAUUUAUUAUUUCAACAACUAUGUCAUACAAAUAUUAUGUCAUGUCAAUUAUAUUUUAUUUUAUACCAUUAAUUUGCUUAUAAAAAAAUUUAUUUUUUUAUUGGUUAAAUUACACAGUUGGUCUCUACACUUUCAGCAAAAUUGUAAAUUGGUCCCUACACUUUAAAAGUUUGUAAUUGGAUUCUUAAGGAGAAUUAAAAUUUGUAAUUAAAAAGUGUUGAUUUAACAGAAUAUUCUCAGAAUAUGUUGAGAAUAUUCUGUUAAAAUAAAAAAUAUGCUGAAAAUAUUCUAUUAAACCAAACACUUUUUGAAUGACGGAAACUAAAUUGCAAAUUUUAAUUCUCUUUAAAAAUCCAAUUAUUUAACAUUUUUUAUUUGUUUGCUUUCUAUUUAUAUGUUUGAAUAUAUUAAUAUUAUUUCUAUUUUUUUGAUAUCUGUAACAAAUUGAUACGUAAAAAUUUUUUUAAUUUCCUAUCAUUCUUUAGAAUAAUGAUUAACCCUUGAAAUAAUCUCUAGAGAAUUAGAAUUCUGUUUUAGUAUAAAAAAUAGCACUCAUUUCAAUUCUAAUGAGAUUUCAAUUCUCAUAUUAAGGCUGUAUACAAAUCAAACUAAAAUAGGUAUAAUUUCUAAUUCCAUUUGAUUUGUUCUUCUUCGUAUUUCUGUUCAAGCACCCAUACUUUAACAAACUUUAAAAAAAUUUCCUUAAAAAAAUUGAAGAAAAAUGCAAAGUGUGAAGAAAAACAAUUUAAGAAGAAAAAUGCAACAUUGAAGAAAAUUCACAGCAGAGUAAACAUCAAAUAGCAAGGAAGAAGAGCAAAUAAGCAUCAUUUGAGUAUUUUUUUUUUGCCUGUGGCUAACAUAAAAUUUUUCUUAUUUUUGUUUCGAAAAUUUGUAACUAACUAUUAUUUAAUAGUGUUGUNNNNNNNNNNNNNNNNNNNNNNNNNNNNNNNNNNNNNNNNNNNNNNNNNNNNNNNNNNNNNNNNNNNNNNNNNNNNNNNNNNNNNNNNNNNNNNNNNNNNNNNNNNNNNNNNNNNNNNNNNNNNNNNNNNNNNNNNNNNNNNNNNNNNNNNNNNNNNNNNNNNNNNNNNNNNNNNNNNNNNNNNNNNNNNNNNNNNNNNNNNNNNNNNNNAUUAUAACAUUUAAAAAAAAAACGUAAUACUAAAACAAUCCAUUAUUUAUAUUGAUAAACAAAAACAAUACAAAAUAUCAAUUUAGUUCUAAACUUCUUUAUAAUAGCAAAUAAGAUUUACUCUUAACACCUUCUAAAAUAAACACAACUAAAUAUUGAACAAUAGUUAUAAAAUGCACAAACUAAGUGUGUGGCAUUUCCCCAAAGAUAGCAGACACUUCUCAUGAUCCGGCAAGAUACGACGGCAAUGCUUGAAGAUUAUCAGAGAACUUUGUGAUACAUCUUCCCUUUUAUUUUCAACUUUCUCCAAGUUGCAGGCUCCAAACUCUAACACAAAUGAACAAGGAAAGAUUGUUUAGUACCACCCAAUUUCACAUAAUGCACUGUAUUUGAAUCAAAUAUAUAGAAAACUGAAAAUAUGAAACUAUGUAAAGUUGCAAUUGAUCAAACAAUUCAUUCAAGGUUCAUAUAUUUGAAGACCAUCAACUUGAUGCAACUUCUCUUGCUACUUUUUAAGUCAAUUUAUGUUAAUAAUGAAAGAGACAAGAAAGCCCACCUGAAUAAAGCUUUGGACAUCAGUAACAUUAAGCACUUUUGGGAGUAGUAUGACAAACAAAUCACCUUCACCAAGGUGAUUUGGAGAGUGCUCUUGCAGCAGCAAAUAACAAGAUUUCAUCAUUUGCAUGGGAAUUUUUAUUGGAAACAGUCCCCUGCAAAGUCCACUAAGACAGUAAUUUGGAGAUAAUGACUGCACAACAUUAGUAUUAAAAUUUUCAAGUUCUUGAAAGAGUUCAGGUAACAAGUAAUCAGAUUCUAAAAUUUUGAAGUAAUGACUGCACAAUAACAAUGUAGCAAUCAUGGUUAUUUAAGCAAAUAAAAUAACAGAACUAGAAUUUAAUAUACUAAGAUAUGAUAUAUUCUCGGAUAUUCUCCUUAUUUCUAACACUACAUUUCUGGAAAAAUGAAAUCAUUGGAAAAAAUAAAUUAAGCAAAUUACAAAAUGAAUGUAUAUAAAAUCUACCAACCUUUAUUAGUCCUUCUUGAAAUAAAAUCUCAAUCACUUCCUUUAGAAUUGGAAUUAAACCAGAACCAUGCACUCCUAUUCCCCAUUUCAGCAAGGCCAGCAUGUUUGAAACCUAAUCAAAUCCAUAAGAAUGGAGGUGAACAACUUAGAUAGCUUCAAAAUGAUGAGCCCCACAAUAUUCAAUCAAAAUAAAAUGAUCAAAUUCAAGACAAAAACAAAGCCAAAACCAAAUCAAGAGAAAAGAGGUGAGCAGCGAAACAUACUAAAGGGUGAAAACCUUUAUUAGUUCUUUAUGCACUAACUUUCUUCUUUUUCUUUUAGUUCGUCAUUUUUUUUUAAUCCAAACAAGAUUAUACAACAACAAAAAUUCAACAAUAAAAAUUUCAUCAUUCAUUAUAAUCCGUUCAAAACAAGAUACAACUUAGCAAAAUUUAAUAAAUAAAUUCUGUUCAAUGAAGCAGAGAAGACUCGAUCCUAAUAAAAGCAUGUUUAUUAUGCUUAUGUUGCUUUUUAGGUCUAGAAUUAGAGAUUUAGCUGAAAAGAAAUAUGGAAAUUUUCCAUAUGGAGACUCAAAACCCAACUCAUGUACCCUGUUGGACAAUGGUUAGAGUUUUCACAUCAAAGAAUAUUCUGUUUACAUUGAUUUUUUUUUUUAUUUUCGAAGUUUUUGUUUAAGUACACAAUUACAAACUUUUAAAAAGCAUGAAAGAUUUAUUUGGAGUUCUCUAAAAAUAUCAGGGACUAACAUAUUAAUUUAACCAAAAAGAUUCAUUAAAAGAGUAUAAUCCAAUAUCCACAGCUUACAGUCACAAAGAACAUAGCCUCAGAAAGCAGCACUGCAAUAAAAACACUUGAAUUCAUAACAAUCGCAAGAAUACUAAUAUCAACUAACAUACUGAACAAAUAAAAGCUCAUGCUUUAGCAUAAUGUUAACCAGGAUUAUCAAGAGUUCGGCAUAAUUUUUUUCAACACAACACAAGAAAAGGCAACGAAACAAAGUUCAGCACAACAGCAGCACAGAGCAUAGUUAAAAAGAAUGAAGAAUGAAAAAAUUUAAAAAAUGAAAAAAACUAAUCUGAGUAACAGAGUCCUAAACCUUUGUUCUGACUUGACUUCUGAGCAGUCUGAAAAGAGGGGCAGAAGUACGACGGAGACAGAGGCCAGACGACGAGCACAACUGACGGCGGCAGUCCUGUGGCUGAUCAAACAAAGAAGACUCGAAGACGCUGAGCUCGAGGAAGAAGCUACGAUUGGUGGGUUGGGGACUUCGAGCACCACGACCAGACGAAGACGAUGGUGCCUGAGCACGACAGACGACGGCAAGAGAGCCACGGAGGAUGGCAGGAGCGCGACGGACCAGAUGAACGCCAGGGACUGACACCGAGCUCGAGGAAGAAGUUGCGACGGCCGACAUGGCGGCAAUCCUUGCAGCAGUCCAUGCGACGGUGGUUAGACAGCCCUUGCGGCGGUGGGGGAGAGGCUAGGGUUUCUCACCUUCAGGCUUCAGCUUUCUUUUUGUUUUGGGAAGAAGUGGAGAGGAGAACGCAUUUUCUAUUUUUCAGUUUCAGCUCACCGUUUUUCUUCCCCUUUUUUUGUUUUAAAGUGUUCAUGGUGGUGUUGAUAAUGGGCUAAUAAUAAAUUAUUAAGUUUUAGUCACACGCAAUAGGGUUGGUUUUAUCAGGCGGUGGCCAUAGUGGAGGAGCAGAAUAGAAGGAGGAUCAAAAGGGAUUGACUGUGGAGGAGGAAAUGGAGUUGGAGAGGAAAAGGAGUUAGAACUUAGAAAACAUAGGUCAUAAUAGAUGAAUAAUAAAAUAAUAAUUUAUAAAAUAAAGAAUAAAUUUAAUAAUUAAAUAAUAUAUAAAAAAUGAAUUUUUGUAGUUAAAAUUAAAUAAAAAUUAUUUAAUAAUUAUUAAAACAUUUAAAAAAACAAAUUUUGUUGUAUCAAAAAAGGAAAGGAAAAAUGACACCGUAGUUCUAGUUCUAGCCGACGUCUCAUAUUCUCAGGCAAAACCGCGAAACUCCAAUUGUCCAAGAGUGUCAUAAAGGGAAAUGUUCUUAUGUAUAGCCACUAUUAGCAAGAUUGGAAGAGGAGACAUGUCGAACCGCCUGCACUAAGGCCGCCAUAAUCCUGUUCCUCGCUAAGAAGGGGUUCACUUUGGGCAACCGGCCUCAAAUUGCCCCAGCCAAACUUAAAACCAAUUAAAUCCAUUCAUGACUUGCUAAUAUUUCUUUUAAGUGUUUCAUGUAUUUUCUUUUUUGCCUUGUUUUACCAAUAGUACUUCCAUCUUUUUGUUUAAGAAAAAAAUGUGAAGUUUCUAUGACUCAACAAGGAAAAACAAACGGGUAAAGAUUGAGACCUAACAUAGUUCUUAACUAAGAAGUAGUAUUCUAUGACUCUUAACAUUUAUUCAUUACUCGUCAACUGCACUCUUCCAAGCAUUGCAUGGUUUCAUUAUGGUUUAGGGUUUUAUCUGUGAUGAGUUAUGACUUAUGAGUCAACAAACCUCAGAUUCAAAAGUGGAUUGCUUGGCCACCAAGGCAAAAUAGAAUACACUCAUAUAAGCGAAACUAAGUACAAUUUUUUAUAUAAUAUGAAUCAAAAUUUUUCUUACACAACUAAGACAUCCCAACAAAGAAGAUACAUACUUAUACAUGACCUUUUUCUCAUUCAUUUUGUUUUCUUUUUACACAUCAAUACAAGCAUUACAUUACAUUACAAAGCUAUCAACACCAAUUACAAUGUCGUUCUUUAACCAUUUUGAAACUACACCUUUUUUAAAUAGUGGGAGCUAUAGUGGAAAACCAAGAUGUUUUUGUCACCUAGGGCCAGAAAGCUCCAUAGCUUCUACUAUGAGUGAAGAUUCCUCUAUAAAAUCCGAAUAUCUUUGAGGGUGGCUUUCGCAAGACCUGAAUCUUGGUGUCUCAAUCCUCUGUGAGGCUUCCCAUCUCUCGGCUAAGCCGUCUCCUUCCAACAUCUUCAAUAUGUCCGACAUCUUGGGACGAUGAGAAGGAUUGAAUUGUGUGCACAAGAGUGCAACCUGAACCAUUUCUUCUAAUUCGACACGGUCAAAGUUUCCCUUUAGAUCUUUGUCAACCAUUUGAUUUAGUCUUCCAUCCUGAUGGAGCUUCUUAACCUGAAAGAAGUUGUUUGAUUCAUGUUAAACGAAACAUCUGUGAUUGAAAGAGAAACAAAACUUAUCAUUUAAGAAUUGCAGUUUAGAUAGUCAAGUUCGCAAAAUGAGUUGAGGAAUAUAGAGGAUAGACAGCUGGGGGAACAGAGUACCCAAUCAAGCAUUACGCCUUUCUGGUUUGCUGCUCGCCCGAAAUCUAGAGCCUUAUGACCUGUGAUCAGCUCAAGCAGCAAGAUUCCAAACCCGAAUACAUCGGUCUUCUCCGAUGACUGACCUGUGGAUAGGUACUCAGGAGCAAUGUGACCAACUGUGCCUCGCACAGCAGUGGUCACAUGGGAAUCUCUGUGGUCCAGAAGUUUAGCUAAACCAAAAUCGCCAACAACAGCUUCAAAGUCUUCAUCUAGCAAUAUGUUGGCGGCUUUCACAUCCCGGUGAAUAAUCUUAGGAUCACAUUGCUCGUGCAAAUAGACCAACCCUCUUGCUGUACCUAAUGCUAUUCUCUUCCGCCUUGUCCAAUCUAAAGCAGGCUGACCAUGAAUAUGAUCUGGUUCAUAAAUCCAAAACCAAUGCAAAGUUAGGUAAGCUUCAAAUUAUGACUCAGUCUCGAAUACAAGCAGCUUAAGAAAAUGGCUGCUUAACAGUGAGCUAACCUUUCAAUCUAGAGGCAACACUGCCAUUAGCCAUAUACGGAUAAACAAGGAGCCUUUCAUUCUGAGUACUGCAAAAUCCGCAAAGCCUCAGAAGGUUCCGGUGGACAGCUAAACUUAUCGUCUCAACUUCUGUCUGAAACUGGAUCUCACCACCUGCUGCAUUGUAGUCCUUCAACCUUUUAACGGCUACAAUAGUCCCAUCGUUCAAGCUCGCCUUGUAAACUAUUCCAAAGCCACCUCUACCUAGGAUAUUCUUUGAGUUGAAAUGGUCUGUUGCGGCUCGAAGCUCUUUGAACGUGUACCUCUUUAAAUGGCCAAGGCGCACCUCUGGAUCAUAUUGCUCUGCAAAGUAGGAAAAUGUUACUUAAAAUGCUCCGAACAUUAAGCUUACGAUCAUCAGAUUCUUUACAAAAUUUGCAACAAGGUUUAUAUAUAUGGUAUGAAAGAUAAAAGGAGACAAGUAUAAAAUGAAACCAAGGGAAACUUGAGUGAUGACUAACCAUUAACGUCAAAGAAAAUCUGUUUGUUGUGUCUAUAUCGCCACCAAACAAGGAACACAAUAAUUAUCACGAAGACGAAGGCAGCACCAAAACUUGCACUAAAAGCAAUAGCCACAUGAUGGCUUUUCUUACUACCAUCUGAUUGAGCUACAUAAACAAAAGUCACCACAUCGAAACAUGUCAUAAAUAGUUAUAAAAAGGUAGUUAACGUAGCUGAAAGUAGAGUUCAAAACACAUAAAUCAUCUCAACCUCUUAGUGCAUCUGGAGGGAAGGAAAGUGGCUCUGGUAAAGUAGAACAGUUGUUGGAUUUCGGACCACAAAUUAACGGAUUUCCGACAAUCCUGGAAGUAUAUAAUCAAUCAAGAAAUUACUACACCAAUUUUUUGUUAACUUGAAUAUAGAGCUAAAGUCAACAUUUAACUAGAAACGCUAAAUGAGCUUACUUUAAUGUUCUUGCUGGUAUUCUUGGCAGGGAACCACUCAGAUUAUUGUAGGAGAGGUCUCUACAUAUAUUUUUCAAUUCAUUACAGUUAGUAUUCAAUUUUAUACCUAGAAAUCAAUAGUUUUGUAAGGAAAAGAUAACAUUAAUGCCAAGGUAACAAAGACCUACACAAGUGUUAAACCUUCUAUGUUGCUUAAAGACUGAGGGCACGGUCCUGUAAGGCUGUUAUUAUUCAACCGCCUAGCACCAACAAGGACACAUUAAAUAGAGUAAGAAACCAAAUUUCAUAAGUCAGAAUAGAAAUAAGUAUCAAACACAAUACUUUGAACAGUUAGAAUCUGUAAUAUAGGUAACUUACAAAUAAUUCAGGUUCUUGAGGCCUCCCAAAGAAUUCGGUAUCUCGCCACUAAAAUCGUUAUUGGAGAGAUCAAGUGUCUGAAGCUUUUCUAGGCUUCCAAUUGCUGUAGGAAUCUGACCGGAAAUUGCAUUGUUCUGAAGCAACCUGUACCAAUUAAGCAUCACUGUAACUGCCUCUACUUUGAGUGAAUAUAAGUUUAUAAUAAAUCAAAGCACCAAAGAAUUUGAAAAUAAAGAUUCAUUCAAUCAAUAAGAGCAAAGGCAACUGAUUCAGAGCUGAACCAAAUUCCAAAGCAAGAACUACACAAGAGACUUAAACGAAAAUCCGGACGACUUACACAGAUUGUAAGUUAGUAAGGUUUCCAACCCAAGGAGAUAGAGUACCAGACAAGUUCUGACUAGGCAUUCCCCUGAUAUGAAAAGAAAAGAUCUUUAGAAGAAAGAAAAAAUAAUUCAAACUACUCAAAUUUGUUUGGUUCAUUUUCUUAUAUAAAUAUCUUGAAACUUGUUUGCUACUUUCAUAAAACACUUCAAAAUCUAAACUUACAAUACUGAAACAGAGCCAUCAAGGUUACAAGUAAUCAUCCUCCAGCUGCAAGGAUCAACAGAAUUACUAUCCCAAUUCUCCAGGACAUUGUGAGGAUCAUCCAAUUCAUUCUUUAUCGCCAUCAAAGCUAGAACUGUUCAGUGAAGAAACAGAAAGAAGGGUAAGAACUAAAACCUCCCAUCAAUUGAUUCACUUGAGAAUAUGCCACUAUGUAACGGGUAAUGAGGAAGUACUUAAGAGUUAAGAUUCUCAAGGCAAAAAAGAAAAGGAAAUAACAAGUCGCAGAAUAGCAUCAUCAUCAAUCCUUCAGCUAUCAUUCCUAGUAAUUUCCAGCAUAAUUAACUUGACCAAAGAUCAAAAUGAAAAAGGGAAGGGGGGAAGAAAAUUAAAGAAAAGGUUAACCUUCAUAGUUUAUGCCAGAAGGAGAAAGAACAGCAGCAGAAAUCUCCAUCAUCAACAGAAGAAGUGAACAUAACAGCCAUGAAACCAAUCUGGUAUGUUCCAUGCUGUAUUCUCAAUUCAGUAACAAUGCCUUCCUCCACACAAAAAACAAAAAAAAAACACACUAGAAAGUUCUCAAAGCCACCAUAAGUCACAAUUGGACUUUGUCAUUCUUGUUUCAAACGGUGGUUGAGUCUGCAUCAUCUUAUCCACACCAAAAAAAGGAAAAAGCCAAUCUUUGGAAUCAGAUUCCCAUAAAGCACAAAACCACUCUCACCAAAACAGCAACUUUGCUUAAGACCCAAUUCAUAUAACCGCAUAAGUUCAAAACCAACAGAACCCAGAUGCCAAAAUUGCUACUUUUCUUCUUCCCACCACUGAAACCAACUUGGAAAUGGAGAAUUUGAAUCCAACUAGGACAAAUUAUCAAGUGAGUGAGCUCAAAAGAGCAAAACCAUCCCACAGCACUUUAAGCCUGAAAUUCUGAGAUCCUUGAGAUCUGUGAGUGAUGGGGUUUGGUUCCUAUGAGGUUUGGACAUUCCCCACAAAUUCCAUGUGAGCCUUGUCGUUGUUGGUUUUCUAGCUUAGUUUCCAUUGAUACCACCAUUAUCUUCUUCUUCUUCUUUUCCUCUUAGCUUGUUGCAGUUGCAGAGAAUAAAAGGUAGCUUAGGAUUUGGGAGCAUGAAACACACUCACGACCAAAGAACCAAACAAAUGCGCCAAAGUGGAAGCCAAUAUAGAUGGAAAAUCA
rnacentral:lncRNA from 1 species